rnacentral:lncRNA from 1 species
AAAAAAAAAAAACUAUUUCAAAGACUUUUUGGGAACCCUCAAACCGUAUUAAAUAGGAUAGACCCUUACAAAAGGAAACAAUACCUCUUGUUAGGGAGAACUUUAGCACCACAUUUUUUUUAAAGUUCAAUUAGUGAGUUCCAAGUAGUGAUUCGACGAUCAAUACCCAUUAACAUUUAGAAUAAUAUACUUUAGAUCCUGGUCGAUCUAACGGUCAAUAUUGAAGAUCAAAGAAGAAAGUUAUUUAGCUUUUGGUUCAUAGAUUCAUAACAAUCGGAACUAUUUCAUGAAAAAAAAACUUUAGAAGAGAAGGGAAGGAGAACUUUCCAUUAGUGCAGACAACGCGAACAAAGAAGACCAUACAGCAACAAUUUAACUCAGUGACUUAAACGGAAAAUUUUGAGUAGUUCAACGACUAUUUUGUAACUUUUUAAAGUUGAGUAACCAAAAUCUAAAUUUAUGGUUUACUGACAUUGAGUGUAGUUUACCCAAUAUUCUAUUACCAUCUUCAUCGUUAUUUUGACUUUUGAAAUAUUAUCAUAUCUAUACUACUAUAAAGUCCUUGCGUGAAUUGGUUUUACGAAUUAAUUGAGUAUCAAUUUAGUUAAAAAAUUGUUGAAUAACAUAUUAUAAUUAAAGUUUGUAUUCAACCCGUGUGAAUAGGUGAAAUUAAGAAAUUUAGUAGGCAUUAAUUAAGAUGCAUGAAUGUAGUAUAUCAAAGAGUUAUGUAUCAAUUACUUGACUAGAAUGGAUGAACGUAUAUAAUGUAAGAAUCACUUGGAACAUCUACUUAAAGGAUUGGAAGUAAUGAAGCAAACUUGAUUUAAUUUUGAUUCUCUCUUCUCUUUAUCAUUUUUAUAUUUCUCCAAUAAAAAAAUGUCUUAAAAACCAAUUUUUUUUAAGUAAUAAAUAUUAUCAUAAUCAUAUUUUUAUAUAAUUUUUUUAAUUAAAACAACUAAAUCUUACCAUUUUCCAACAAUUAAAAGACUAAUCAGUUAAGAUGUCUGUGUUGGCACUUCAAGCCCUAAAAUUACCAGUCCCUUUCCAAUUUGUAAUUUACCAAAAAAAAAUCACUACUUAAAAUAAAUAAACCAUAUGAUCAAGAAACAAAAUUGAGAUUAGUGAAAUAUUGUAUAUAAGUCCUUUACCACUUUACUUAUAAUUCAAUAGAUGUAUACAUAUUUUAUAAAUAUAUUUUUACAUCAGAUUUUUUUUCACCCAUGGGUAUGACAUAAUCCAGUAUUUCUGGUGUUGUUUGAGUAUCUAAGUUUCAUGGUUUUGAUGGACUUGCUGGUUCAGGGGAUGGUCAUGCAUAUGCAUGUAGUGUAAGGAGUGGGAAAGAAGUACGAUUCUUUGGUCAUCUGUCUCAAUACUCAUUAGUUUCUUAAGCUAGUUGUGGGCACACUUCUCUCGUCAUCUUUAUGCUAUUUUUUCUAUGGUAUCUAUCAAAUCCAGAUAUUUAUAGUAUCAAGGCAUUUUCUGUGUUACCCAGUAGUACUCCUAAUACAAACAAUGCUUUGUCUUUGUGUAAUAUUAUUCUUUGAAGAUUCAUUGAUCCCAACUUUCCCUCUAAGCCCCCCUCCCAAACCAAAACCAGAAAAGAGAAACAUUCAAUGCUGAAUGUGGUGCUUUAAGUUCUUAUAUUUGUUGCUUCACUCUUAAUAGGUUUUAUUCAGAAAGAUAAGCCUAUGCAUGUCUGCAUUAGGUCAUUUAUAGACAACCCAAGCUCUAUUAUGAAUUUAUUUAUUGUUUGUGAUUAUUUGCAGUAUCUUGAUCAACCUGCAUAUAUGUAUUAAUAACCCUCAAAGUUCAGCAGCUUAGGAUUUAAAGAGGUCUUUUUUUUAAUUAAAAAAAUGAAAAGCCUUCAACUAUAGCAUUUUCUGAGUAAACAAGCUAGUUGAGUCAUGACUGAUUAGUUUUACCGCUAAAGGACAUAACGUGCUUGGAGUCUCAAAAAGCUAUCUUUCAAUCUUAUGGGUAAAUGCCCCCAAAGGACAUAAGGGUUCAUCGCUAGCCAUAAUGUUUGAAAAAUAUGUCAAACCCAAUAAAGGUAAUGCAUCCAUCCAAAAUCUGGCUUAUAGUGAUGAGGACCCCUUUUCAUUACUUUAUUUAAUAUAUAAAUAUUAUUUUAAAUUUAUAAUUAGGAAACCUUUUCAAAAUAUACUGUGUUUCAAAUAGUUGCAAGUAAAAAAAAUUAUAAUUAACCAAAAGUUAUGUUGCUUGAUUAUUAACCAAUAAUUGUCAUUAUUUACAGUGAUGAGUUAUGUCUCUUAAAUUUAAAAAGUAUGUCACUUGAUUAUUUAACAAAUAGUCAUAAUUAUUCAAGUAGAUAUCUAUUGAAUAAUUAUGUUUAUGGCUAAAGAUAUGACUAUCCAUUAUGAAGAGACAUGAGUCAUCCUAUAAAUAGGAGUGAACUUUCAUUUGUAUGACACACUGAUCUAACGUCAAAUGUAAUAGUAAUUUUGGGUUACCGCACUUAAAGAGCUUGUUUUCUAGCUAAUUUAGUAUUUAAUAUUGCAUUUUUCGGUAUUUAGUAGUUAGUAUUAAAAGUUAAUAAAAUAAAUGUUUUUUAACACAUUUUGUGAGUGUUGUGACCUAUUAGGCCGGCACGGGCCUUAGGUAGUUCUAAUUUGUGUAAUUGAGUGUGUAGGAUGAUGAUUUAUAGGCUCACUCGACGUAGGAGCAAAGGACAAGGGAUGCACAAGCUUCCCGAACCGUCAAAGCAUGAAAUGAACCAAAGGAGGCACAAUUUGCUUGUUGUGUCGCGCCAUAGACCUUGCAUGGCGCAACAUAGGGUUGACGUGCAACCCAAGUAUCCCGAGGCUAUUUUCAUCCUCACAAUCAAUUUUAUACGAAGACCUAGGACGUUCUAAUUACCUAAUUCAGGCUGCCAACACUCCUAUAAAUAAAACCUUAAGGGUUUGAUGUAACGAAGUCAUCUUAGACGCAUCCAAAUUUAGAAGUAGGGUUAGAUUAAGUUUUCGGUUCUUUUCAUAAACUCUUUGUUCUUUCCUCUUGGAAUCGAUUUUGACCCAAGAGUUCUUUUAUUUAAUCGAAGUAUUUCAGUUAUUUCUUUUUUGCAAAGGACGAUUUGUGUUAUUCCAAUUGAGAGAUCCACUACUUUGUUCUUCAAUCAACAUCAAAAUCAAGAUUAUUCUAAUAUCUUUUCUCUUUCGAUUCAAUCGUGUUAAUUACAUGUUCAAAUCAAUUGAGUUCGAGAUUAUGAAUAACAUGAGAGGUUAAAUCCUUUAGGGGAGAUUAACAAGUGGAUGGGGACAUGAUUAACGGAGGAUUUAGGGUUUCUCAAUUGGAUUAGUUGGUAUAGAUUACGCGUUCUUAAACCCUAGGUUUGACAACCCUAGAAAGUAAUCACAGGUUAAACGAGAUCGAGAGAUAAGUUUGCUGAGUAAAACGUAAUCUAUCUUGUUUGAGAAAGUGAGGUUGAGAGAUAAGUGAGUAUCAACCAAUUAAUUAAUCUUUUAGAGGCCGAGAGGUAAUAACUAGUUACUUAAUGGCUAAUCCACCCUAAAACCCUAAUAUGAAGUUAAUUAAAACCCCUAAAACAAUUUAAUCUUCCUUAUUGGUUUAAUUGAUUUAGUUUUGUGUUAAUUUUAUUUCUUAUUUAUUUUCGUUGUUUAAUUUCUAUUAUUCAUCUCUUUUAUGAUCCAUUGUAAUAUAGAAUUAAUUAGUACUAUUUAGACUUAUAAAGAAGUUUCCUGUAGAUUUAAUCCCUAAUGGCCUUGAUCGAAGGUACUUUUCUAGUGGUAUAAGUGCAGGUACUCAUAAGAGGAGAAAACGGGAUAAAUGGCAAGAUCUCGAUAAGAUUGGAAUUGGUUGGGCGGGUUAGGAUGGUCAUGAACAAUGGAUGAAGUUGAUGGUAAAAUUUAAGGAAUUGUUAGACAAGUCCGGUAGCGAGACACGAUUUGAAACCAUCAAACUUUAACUAAUUUACAAAUAUAGUAUAUUAGUUGUUUUUAAUUUGUUAGAAUUAGGAAUUAAAUUUGUUCUUUGAUGUUAAAAUUAGAAGAAAACAGGUUUACGAAAGCAAUGGAGGAGAUAAAUGCUAGUUAGGGGUAAGUAGGGACAACCGAAGGCUUUUGACAAGUCUCAGAGGGACCAAAUUGAAGCCAUGUCAUCACAUAGUAAUCCCAUGAUGCGACUAGAACGAUAGAAAUGUGCAAGUGUACAUAAUCGUAACAAGUGAUAAAGUGACAAGUAUGUCGAGUUAUCGUACCCACAAGGACUGUAUAAGCAAGUAUUUAUGAAAUGUAAAUUUAAGCAAAUUGGUAGAGGAAAAUAUAUUAAUUUGAAAGAGAUGAUCUAAAAACUAAAUCUUAACUAAGUAAUCAACUCAAAUAAAAAGUAAAAUUGCAAUGCACGAUUUCUAAAAAAGAUUUUAAUCAAUAUGACAUAAGUGUGUUAGAUUAAUUUCAUUCUUUAACUUAGAAUUAUUAAAACUGUUCACGUUGUUACGAAUAAUUUUAUGGCAACUGAGUAUUUUGUUAACAUGCAUACUUACUAAAUUAAUCAAGCUUUCAAACAUAUUCCUAUGUUGGAUUAAUUUAAUCAAUUUUCGUAAGUAUAAGACAGAGUGAAAUAAAUAUAUUUAUGUAAUUUAAUCAUAACAAUAUUACAAGUUAUGUAAGGUAAGAAUAUUGUUUAAUAUGAUUGCUAAUUUUAACCUUUAAUUACCUUAGAAGAUUAAGCAUGUACCAAUUAGAUAUUGUGUCGAUUAAUUAUAAUUUCAAUCCAGUUAAUAAUUAAUUCGAUAGUUAUAUUACAAUUAUAAUGCAAGCAUAACAUGGGCAUAAUUUUAUCUAAUUGAACAACUUACUAAGGCUUAUAACAACACAAACAUGAAUUUAACAAUUAAAGUGAUAGAAUGCAAUCAAUCUAACACUUAGAAUGUAAUCAAUCUAUCACAAACACGAAUUAAGUCAUUUUAAUUAAAAUAGAAGCAUCAAAAGAACAAGUAUUCAUGUUUUUUUUAUCACAAAAUAAACUUGAAAAGAAUAAGAGAAGUGAACUAGAAAAUAAAUCUUGGUGUUUCUCUGAAGCCAGACUAGCGUGCUUCUCUUUCUUUCUACUUGUUUUGUCGAUCAAAGACCUUCAUGAAUGCUUGAUUACUGCUGCUCCAAGGGGUGUGCUAGCUCUUUCUCAAGAGGGAAAAUCGGCAAAAGGAAGGGAGAAAAUUGGGAAGGCCAAAGAGAGUGAAUGAAAGAAACGACAGAAGAGAUGAGUGAAUGAUGAAUGGUGUCUGGAUUGAGGAAGUGAAGGGGGGCUAUUUGUACUUAAAAUUGGUAGCUCAAGUUAGCUAAAAAUAGCAUGAAAGCCACUUUUCUUAUGACCGACAAUGCUAGGUGGAUGGAGUGGUUGAAUUAAUUUGCUAUUUUUAGCUUGUGGCUAGAAAGAAAUUGCAUAAAAAAGGGAAGCAGUUGGACCAUGUCUUUAAGAGAAGCUUAAGGACCAUUUUGAAAUUUUUAUAAUAAGCUUAGUUAGUUUAUAUGGGAAGCAAUUGGGUCGGCAAUAGGCUACUAUUCCCUUAGUGGAUUAAUCCUCUUCAACUUACCAAAUUUGGGUCUCUUUUUUUGCAUCAGGCUAGGAGUAAAUUUAACCUAAUUUUUAUUAGAUCAAAAAUAAUUUUUCAAUGGGUUCAAGGAGUCUAAUUGGGGCAUCCAUGGAUAUAGAAUAAUAAAUCAUCCUCAUGGGUUAAAUGAUUUGAGAAGUGUUUCCACGGUUCAAUCUUCUCAAGGUGACUGUCGAGCUGGUUUUUCAUCAUUUGUGCAAAACUAUCAGAAAUAGACCAAAUUAUGCAAAAUUAUUAUAAAAAUAAAUAAAAGUAAAAAAUUUCAUAAAUUGAGUUCAAAUUAAUUAUUUUAUAAUAAAAGUAUAAAAUUCGACAGAAAUUACUUAGACAUUGCAUGAAUUAGUGUUCAAAAGAUGCUGAAAAAGUAUAUUUGUUUUAGUUUUUCCAGUUACACAACCCCAUUGAACCUAAAAAUACGAGAUUUUUGUGUCGUGUCGUGCCAUGCCUUAUUUAUGGUGCGACACAACAUAAAUGGAAGCAAGAAUAAAGGCCAAAACUAGGGUAGUAUCGCGCUAUGCCCCUUAUGGCACGACAUGUAGGCCACUUUCGGUAACUUUCUGUUCUUGGUUUGACGCGAUCUUCAAAGAUCUUCUCCAAGUUUGCAUGGAAAGUAAAGCCUUAGAUAGCCUCUGUAUAAUGCACUUACCAGCAGCCACAUCUUCCAAGCCGUCAUAAUCAGCCAAAUCACCGUUCGCAAACCUUUUCUUUAAGAUUCCAUGAGUUCUUUACCUUUCCCCUAUUCCAUAGCCUCAAAACUAUGCAUAACAACCUUUUCAAUAGCGAAUUCGUAGCGAAUAGUCACAUCUGCAUCCGAGAAAGGAAGCUAGAAAAUAACCUCCGAGCGGUCCAACAAAAAAAUUCCUUUACAAGAAUGAGGUUUCAAUUCCAUAAGCACACUGAAUAGUGAAACACGAGAAAUGAUUCAAUUUCAUCGAUAGGAGAAGUUCUAUACAAUCCCAACUAAUCCGGGGUACAUUCCGAUUAUGCACGAAGUCUACGCCGCAUUAAAAGAGGUGGAUGCAAAUAGACUUAUGAAUGUACCGUGGAUGCAGAUAUUAGUUCAAGGGAAGGAAAUUUCUAUCUCACCUCCCGAGAUAACGAGGUAUUACGAUGUCCCUAUAACAACUCGUUUUUUUAGUGGUGUUGGAAAUAAUGUUUUCAAUACCAUAAUUUCGACGAGUGAGUUUAUAAAUAUUAUUAUUUUAAUAUUUACGAUUUAUAUAUGAUGUUAUUGUGAAUUUUGAUUUUAUAAAUUUUAUUAAUUGGUCAAUAUACAAGUGGUUCGUACCUAAAGUCAAUGGUUUUGGAAAAGGUGGUAUUAGGACCUUGUUUUCACAAAACAAGCCCGUAAAUUAUAUUAUUUAAUAUUUAUGGAGUUAUUGUAUUCGUGAAUUGAAUUUUGGUUAAUUAGUUAAGUAUGAUUUAAUUAUUGGACAAUUUGUAUGGUAAUAAGCCAAUUUUAGACAUAGUGGCCAACCAUGGAAUUUGUGCAGGUGAAAUUUUAUAUUGAUUUUUAGUUAAAAACAUAAAACAUUAAAAGAUUUAAAAUAUUAAAAAAUGGGAAGUGUCAUUAGCUUCCCUAUUUUCCUUGUUCUUUCACGAAAAUACCAAUUUUGGAGCUAGGAGAGUUCCACCACUUCACAAGAUUGCAUGUAGGUACAUUUGAGCUCGGUUUUUCGUAAAUUUUAUGUUUUUAUGAUCGUUGCUUAAUCUAGCUAUAUUGUACCUCCGUUUUUAAAACUGAUAAAGAUUUUAAAUGUUACCAUUAGAGAUAUUUGAAGCUUUUAGUUGUUAAAUUGAUGGUUUAAAAAGUUAGGAGUGUAGAAAGAAUUAAAUUGUGAAACUAAUUGUUAGUUUUGAGUUUAGAGACUAAAUUGUGAAUAUCUUGAAAUUGGUAUGAAAUUCUUGUAAAUUGUGAUAAUAGGAGACUGUAUAUCGACAUUUAAAGUGGGUUUAAAAUUUGGAUUUCAAAUUCGGAAGAUAUGAUAAGUUCAAUUUUAGGGACUAAAUUGAAUAAAAUGCAAAAUUUUAUGAAAAUUACGAAAAAUGAAUAAAAAUGCUAUAUUCAUGAGAUGAGAUGAUUUAAAGUGAUAGGAGCUGAUAAAGUGAAAUGAAUUAUCAUAUAAAUCAAGAUUCGAAACAAUUAGUAGAUAAACGGAGAAAAAGAAAAAUUACAUAAUAGUCCCUAACUUUGUGAUUAGUGUUGAAUUCACCUUGUAAGUUCAUAUGGUAUGAUUGUACUUAAUUUUCUAUAUAUUUGAAAUUAUGAAAUUCGCGUGUCUUGAUAAUAAAUUAAAUUGUUUGCAAUUUGGUGUAAAAAUGUGAGGUAUGAACUAAAUCUUAAGGAAAUGAUCAAUUAAUUGAUAAAUUGAAUACGGUGAAUUGACAAUUUGAAAUAAUUAAGGAAUUGACCUUGAAUUAGAUUAAAAUAGGAUAUGUUAUGUGGUAAAAUGAUGAUUUGAGAAAAUGAGUUGGUAUAGUUGCCACCUAACCACACAAUAGUUGGCUGCAGAUAGUUGUUGAAGUUGAAAAAAAUUGCAGAUGGAAAUAUUUCUCGAUGUAAAGUUCGGUUACUAAGGGGUUUCCUCAGGUACUUGGAUUUUAUUACAAGGAAACCUUCAUCCCUAUAGUUAAGCUGAUGUCCAUUCAACUAACUAAUAAAUUGACUAAAGCAAGAGCACCUAUCAAUUAAUAAUAUAGCUAUGGUGAGCAUUGAUUUCGUUCCCUCGAGGACUAUAAUUACUAGUAAUUUUCACCUUUCUAUUAUUUAACCUAAAAAUUUAAAGGAUCAAUUAAAAUUUAAAAUAGCCUAUCUAAAUUAACUAAUGAAUGCACCAAAGAAUAAAACACAAAAACAAUCAAAUAUCAACCAAGUGACAAAACAAUACCUAGGUAAGAAUCCACCUAGAUUUUAUCUAUAACUCUCAAUCUAAUUUAUGCAAUUUCUUUUCUUAGCUCUUUGAUCCGUAGAAAUCUCAAGUUUAUGUUAAUAUCUCUUUCAAGCAUAAGAGCAACUAACUCUAGGUUGAUUAAUUGAAAUUUCUUUCUAAUUAAAACCCCUUAUUAUUGCAUUAAUUCGCUCUAUUGGUUCCCCUAUUAGAUUUAACUUUAAUCCGGUAGAUUUAUGUUGUACUAUUUCUAGGAUUGCAUGCAACUCUAUUCAAUUAUUCAAUUAAAUUAAUUAGUCAUUAUGAAUCCUUUGAAUAGGAAAAUUAAAUAUAUUUUUGUAUAGUUUAUUUUAUGUUAAAGUCAUCAUGACUUUAACAGAACUAAAAUUGGGUUAAAAAUUAUUUAAUUGUGAAAUUAAUUUAAUUAAGUAAAUUAAAUAAAUAAAUAAUAUUUAUUUUGAGAAUAGAAAACAAAUAUUGGAUUGGAUUAAAUUAUAAAGUGUAGAGUUAAAAGUCCAAGAAGCACGUAUAAUUGAACUCAAUACAUGAGAGGUUCAAUUCCCCUCAUUUACAUGUGAGGCAUGGUAAAUGUUUUUAUCUAAGGUGUGCCCCCUCCCCCUCUUCUAGUUGACUAGGAGAUUACUUUUCUAUUAAAUAAAUAUUAUUUGUGUAACUCUUAUUCAACUAAAAUUAUCCUAUCUCUCCGUAUAAAUAGAUGACACUGGUAGAGUUAUUAAUAUAUUAGUUUCAUAUAUUAUUAUUCUACCAAAAAGCUAUUUUCUGGGAAUUACAAUUUCUACCCUUUUUUUGAGAGAAUUAUUUUCCUACUGAAUGUAAUUAAAUCAUUUCUUAUUUUGUGUUCGGUUCGUGUCUCUUGAGCCCAUACUCAACGCAAGUCGGGAUAUGAGGAUAGCAAAGAAGGUUGAUCAGUUGAAAGUCGAGAAAGUUUCGAGUCCGUCUCGCACAAAACACAAGUAUUUGUCGGUAGAAUGUUUAUUACUAUAAAUAUCGCAAACUGACUUAGUUUGAAAUUUUUUAAACUUCUCCUAUAACAGUAAAUUGCUUUAAUAACCGGAUUUAACGUAUUGUUCUAAUUGAUGUUGGAACACAGGCUAGAACCAGAGAGUUUGCAUUACAAAUCCAAAACGUGAGUUGAAGAGAUGAGUGAAGAGAGAAUCAACACAAAAUAUUUGUUAACGCAAUUGAGAUUUCAUCAGUCCUACACCUGUGGAGCCUCGCUUAAAAGAAUGAUUUUACUCAACAAUUAAUCUAGUACAACUAUUGACUAAAAUUCAAUAUGCCCUCUACCAAUAGAUAAUUACGGCCUCAAAGUAAAAACUAAAUUGUUACAAAUACAUCACUUUACAUUCGAUAUCUUCAAAGAGAAUUAAUUUAGAGAGGCUUGGAAUACGCAUAUAAAACUCUUCUCCUUCUUCUUCAAGUUACACGAAUAUCUCCACAUCUACCGCAUAUGAGCAUACUUUGCCAAAUAUUUGGAGGGUUCCAAAUUAGGUUAUUCUAACUACAAUUCAAAUAUGAUGGAAGGCAAUCCAAGUUUCCAACCAUUUUCACAACAAGUUACUGUAACUUUUCCAAAAAAAAAAGCUGACAGUAUGAAAGGGCAAAAGAAGAUAAUUGAUUUAUUCAAGUUCAUUUUCCAUACUUUGAGUCAUUAUUCUUUGAUUUCAAACAAAAAUCCUGGUGAAAAGCUUUUCACAAAUGGUUGCAGAAGGGACACUGAUUACGUUUUUAACUGUAUUUAUUCAAUGGUGAGUCAAAUUAAAGGAGAAAAAUGAAAGCUGAAAAGCAUCCAUUGUUUCCGUCAUAGUUUUAUAGGUUAAAGAUCUUUUGCUGUGAAAAGAGGCAUUUUGGUACAAACCGUGAAAUAAGUGUGGGUGUGGAAAAAAGCUUCAACACGUUUUGGCAAAUAUAGAAUAUUAUCCAGUUGCAAGACACCGGUUUUUUCUUAAUAAUUUCCAUUUCUUUAUUAAGUACCUGAUUGGGUUACCAAAAAGAAAAUAAUCACAUCAGUAAUACUGUCAUUAUGUUAGACAGACAGGAAACAGUUUUUGUUUUUUUCUUCACAAUUGGCAUCCUCUAGUUAAGAUCAACAUUUUCGUUAGCUUUAACUUAGACAAGAAUCACUGAACUUCCUAAACCAAGCCUCAUUGUCCAUAUUCUUGGCAAGAAAACAAACAAGAUGCUCAUUAAUUAAGUUAAUUUCUUUACCAUGCCCCAACAAGAGACGAACUGAUAGGUUACACCACAAUAUUAAAGCCAUAAUUUCUAGCUACCUAAUUAAAGAAGCCAGUGGACAUCAUCAAUUAUAGUAACAUGAUUAAUACGAAGAUUGAUUUUGCAUCAGAUCGAAUCCUGUGAUCUGGCAUUGUAGGAGUUGAGGCUGAGCUCAAGUGAAGCACGAGAGGCGGUGUAGCCAUCAUCAGACCUGUACCAACUAGAGUAGCAGCUAUCUGCAGAUUGAGGCUUCAUAUUGCUGCAAAAAGCAUUGAUGUCUUCGCCGUGCAUGGGGAAGAGAGGAAGGGUUUCAAUAUGUGGUGCAACAGCCGCUCCUUCUUCCUCUUCUUCUUCUUCAUCACCUUCUUGUUCUUCUCCAAAUAAUUUUUUCUUGUCGAAGAAAGCAUAAGAUGAUGUUGUAUAUGCAGGAUCCAUGCCAACCCACCCAAAGUUGUGGCUUGCACCACCACUGCUGCUACCACACGCUGAUAUCGAGCAAUCCUGGUUUUAAAAAACAUAGAUACAAUAGUGUUAAAAAAUAAAUAAAUAAAGUUACUGCCUUUCCAAAGCUUUUAUGAUUAUCAUCUCUUACCCUAAAACUCUUCUCCAUGGUCAUAGAUCCAUAGCCAUUGUGUCCUAUCUGCCCAACAGUAAGCACACCAGUUGAAGGAGGAGAUGAAGGAGCAUAACCUACAAAAUUUAUACAAAAAUCCAUUGGGAAUAGGAAAGUAAAGGGUUUUUAUAAAUAACAAGCAAAGGUAGGGAAAGAGAAAAUAAUUAGAGAAACCAACCAGGAGUUAUGGUGGGAUAUUUAUGAUUAUGAAGAGAAUCAUCAGGUUUCCUGGUAGCAUUUGCAAGAAUGGGUGUUUGCAUGGGGAGAAUAUCAGGUGUGGAGGUGAACCUUUUCUUCUGCCUCUCACGAGCCUUGUGGUUCUGAAACCAAUAAAAGACAUUCUUGCCUUCGAUUUUCCCGUACUGUCUAAGCCUAGCAGAGAUCCUCUGAAUCUGAUCAGCACUUGGGGACCUAACUCCAUUGUUGUAGUAAAGGUCUUUCAAUAUUCUAAUCUGGUCAGUGGUGGGAGUCCACCGUGUACUACUUUGCCUGCAAAGAAAGCUUCCUUUGCCACUGCCACCGCUACUAUUAUCAUCAUUCGGAUGUGGUUGUUGGUGUUGGUGUUGGGGUUCCAUGAUGGAUUCCAAACAAGAAGAAAACAAAGAGAUGCAAACAAAGCUAGCAAGUUAAUUAGAGAGAGAGAGAGAGACAGAGAGAGAGAGAGAGAGAUGGUGUAGGUGUGAAUGAAAGUGCAUGAAGAAGUGAGAUAUAAAAGGAGAUGAGAAGGGGAAGAGAGGAUAUUCAUAUCAGAGAAAUAUCUGAGAGUGAAGGAGUGAAGUUGUCAGAGUGAUGUUCAUGAAAAAGGAAGUGACAAAAGAGGCAUAGAAAGGAGGAUAUCAGUGGAAUUACUUGGAUGAAAAGGCAUGACGAGGUAUGAAAUGAUGAUUAACCAGCCUUCCCCUUGAUAACAGUGACAGAUAUAUGAGAGUUGCCCAUAAUAUAAUAUAAUAUAAUAUUGCAACUGAAAUGAAUGAAGGAGUCUUUCAAGGAAUGAUGAAUCCGAUUUACAACUCAAUAUAUGACCUGAAUCAAACCUUCAUAUAUUUACUAUAUUACACGGACCCAUCAAAACAUAAAUUGAGCUUCAUUUAUCAAACAAGAAGUAAACAUAGUCAUUAAUGAAUAAGCUCUACUCUAUUUUGCAGAUCCAGAAACCAGACUAUAAAAAAUAUUCCUGUAAACUGACAGUGAAUUUCAAGAGAGACAUAAAUGCUUUCUCUAGGAUUCAUUAUCAGAAGAGAAUCACAUUAAACGAAAGUAUUUUUUAUUUAUAUUAACACAGUCUAUCUCUAGUCUUUACUGAUGUCACAAUCGUCCAAUAGUAGGUUCCUUUAUUCUUUAUAGAGCUUUGAUUACCCUAUCCUUUAAGAAUUUCAGGGAUUUCACCUUGGAGCUGGAGGGAGCCCUCAGUGUGUAGAUGAGAAAUGGUGUUAAGAGGAUACCCUCCCUAGGUAGGUCUUGCAAGUACAACAAGUAUUGGAAAUUGAAUUCAUAUCUUAGGACCAGCUUCCAUGUGCAGUAAAAGAAAGCAGCUUUGGCAAACCGAGUUUUGAACGCCAAACUCUUUUAACUAAAAUAAAAAUUAAAAAACCUCUUCAUCUUUCCAGUUUAACUUUUUACUGUCCUAAAUUCCAUGUGGUGGAUAUGCAGCACGUGCAUGCAUAAAGGCAGCAUUGCUUUAUAUUUCUUCCAACAUACAAAUCAAUACACUUUUACGUUCUAAAGUUGAAACGGAUUGGAGAUACAGUGAAAUUUAUUUAGAUUACAGUUUCUUGAGAUUUUGUUGCCUGGCUACGUAAACCCCCAUUUCUCCAUUAUUCUGCAUUCUCUUUGUUUCCUUUCAUACAAACAUAAAAAACUCCUCCUUUUUUGCACAGUGUGGGAUAAUAAUAAUAUUUUUUAAGGGGGGAAAAGGGGGAUUGUAGUAUUACAUACACCUUGAGUUCAACAAGUAACAGUCAGUCGUAUUCCAUUUUUCUACAAUAAUUAGGACUGCAGCAGCAGCCUCUUUCUUUCAAACUUUUCAGAUUGUGUUUUGAUUCAGACAUUAACAUCAUGAGAUUUCCUCUCCUUAUCAUGCAUUGCAUUAAUGCUUCUCUUCCUCUGAUCCUCUCCAUGUGGGUUUUGUCGGUAACUUGGUUCUUAUCUUUCUCUAAACUCUAUUCCACUCUCUUUUUCUUUCUAGUACCUCAAAUUCUUUUUUUUUUUUGAACCCUUUUUUAAGCCAAUACAAUAUUAAUUUAGUUGAAAUUUUAUUAAAGAAUUGCUUAUUUAAAAUGAAAUAAAUAUUUUUAUAUAAAAUUUAUAAUAAAAAAAACCAAGAAUAAAUUACUGACAAAAAUAACAAAUAAUAUGACUUAAACUUAUCACAUCAAAAUUGUUAACUAAAAUUUCAUUUGUUUUCUACAUAAGUGAAAAAAAAUUAUGUUUAAAAAACAAGCUAAAAGGGUGAAGUUGAAAACCAAUCUCGUAUGUGUGUAAUUUUUUAUAUUUUAAUUUCACAAUAAAAUUAAAAAUAAAAAUAAAAAUAAAUAAAGUGUAAAUAUAUAUAAUAAAAAAGAAAUAGAGUGCUUAUCUCAGAAGUCCUAAGAAAUGGGCUAGCUAGUUACGUAUAGCGGGGGUAGUACACAUCCUUUUCUUUGGGGUAAUCAUCCCAAUUGCUGUUAUUUUCUCCGCCAUAUCUGCAAUGAUACAUCACAAUAUCAUUCCAUAUCUCCUCACUCUGCAUCUGCCUUUUUCCCUUUCUUCUGUCUCUAUUAAAUCUAAGAUAGUGACUGUGCCAAACCCUACCCACACCCUUCUCUUUCUUUUCUUCUAAUCUUUGCUUACCCAGAAUGGAUGAUAGACUGUCCGUAAUCAAGUUUGAUAACCCACACCCUCUUUUUUUUUAUUAUAUAUAUAUAUAUAUAUAUAUUCCAGCUCUAGGGUUUUUAGGGUGGACCAAAUUUUGAUGCACUCAGGUUUUCUUUUGGCUUUGAACCACAUAUCCCCCCCCCCCUUCUCCUUUUACUAGUUUUAUUUUGAUUCAAUCUCUACCACUACCAACCCAAACCUUUAUUUUCUUGUUUCAACUUUGUUUCGUCUACUAGUAAAUCAAUUUAACUUUUUUAUUUUUUUAUUAACUUAGUUAAAUUUAGUCAUUAAUAUUUUAAAAAUAGUUAAAUUUAACCCGUUAACUUUUAAAAAAAAUUAAAUUAUUACUUUUUUAAAUAUUAACUAAAAUAUUAAAUUAUUAAACAUAACAGCUCGUAUGACAAUUUACAUUUACUGCAUAAUAAAUUUUUAUGGUUUUUUUUUAUUUUUGAACAGUUUUAUCAAUUUUAAAUUAUUUGUUCACAUAGCAUUUAAGAUAAAUAAUGACAUCGUUAAAAAAUUAAUGUUUUAAUAAACAUUUUCAUUAAAAAAGUAAUUUAACUCUUUUUGAAACAUUAAUGAUUAAAUUUAGUUCAAGAAAAAAAUCAAAUUAACAAAAGAUGUAAACAUUGAGGAAACUCUAAGUAAAGCCUACUAGAAAUGUUACAAAAAUUCAAAACAUAUAUAUGCUAUUAUUAAAAGUGAUGGACAUAAAUAUCUUCUAAAAUUUUAAAGUUAACAAAUUUGUGUUAUUUAAAUAUGUAAUUUCAUUAUUUUAUUUAAACUUAAAUUUACAUGUAUUUAAAAAUAAAAUUCACAUGCUAUUAAAAAUUCAUAUCAAAAGUAGAAAAGAUUCGCACAUAAUGCAAUUUAAGUAAAAAUAUUUAAAAUAUAUCCGAAGCAGAGAGAAUCUACACAUGAUGAAAUUUAAGUUAAAAUAAAUCAAAAGAUAACCUACAUAUAAUUUAUACAAUGUGAAAGUUACACCUAAGACAUUAAGGUCCCAAGAUUUUAUCUUUACAUUAAUUUAUUUGAAAUUAAAUAAUUAAAUAUAUAAAAAUCAAUUUCAAUCACUUUGAUUAAAAUAUUAUCUAUAUGCUCUUCCUAUUGAGGUGAGAAGGGUUAUAUAUAAAAUACCACGUGUAAGUAACAUGUUUGCUGCAAAAUCACAUCUUAUUUCAUUAUAGAGAAAAAUAUAUAACUUUAUAGAUUGAUGAUAUGGCAAUGUAGAGUGACUUUACAAUCAAUGAUUGUCCAAUCAUGAUUAAAGUAGUGGCGAAUUCAAGGGAACUGACAGGAGUUUCAAUUCUCCUAAAAUGAAAAAAAAUUCAUUUAGACCUUUUGUAGUUUAUAAAAUUUUAAAUUAAUAAUGGUAAAAUUAUACUUUAGUCUCCUUAAAAAUAAUAAAAAUUUGAUUUAAUCCUUUAAAAAUUAUAAAAGUAUAGACUAUUAAAAUGAUAAAAUUAUAUUUUUACUAUUGUAAAAAUAUAUAAUUUAAUUCCGAUUACCAAAAAUAAAAUUCUGACUUCGCCUGUUUAGAAGGGUCGUAGGUACUUAUGACGUGCUGCUAAUGAUGCUCAAGGGUGACAUAUGCAGGUGUGUUAUGGAGGAGGUAUAAUAAAAAAAAUUAUAAGAAAAACGAAAAAAGCAUACUAACACAAGAGAACAACCAUUAGAAGAACCUAAAAUUACCCACAUUUGCAGGUAAAGAAAGAAUGGAAAUUAUAAAAAGAAAACGUAAAAAUCAUCAAAUAAUAGCUUACUAAGACGAAAGAACAAUCAUGAGAAAAUUACCCAUUUUUGCUGGUAAAGAAAGAAUGGAAAUUAUAAAAAGAAAAUGUAAAAAAAACAUUGAACAAGACAAAAAGAAAAAUAGUAAUAAUAGUGGAAGGAGGGAAUGGAGGUGGAUACCUGUAGGGGUAGCCUUUUGAAGAUUUGCGGAUGAGAAUUCGUAGGUAAUGGUGUAUACCGUAUAGGUCGAUUCGAUGGCCGUUGUCUGCAAUGGAAUGGAACCCUCUCCAUUGCUUAUUUAUCUUUUAUUUAUUCAUUUGAGAGAGUAUUUUUUUAUUAAGGUAAAAUAAUAUUAUUCAAAAUAGUUAAUUACAACAAUAAGAAACUCCAAAUCAUAAUUAAAGACGUCUAGCUUUUCAUUAUAGAAUGUUAAUGCAUAUUUUCAUUGUGGUAAGUCACAAUUUUAUAUUAUUAAAAUACCAGUAAAAAUGUAUUUCAAGAUUGAGAAGUCGUUGCUGCAGAUAACAAAGUAUGUUCCAAAUGUAGAGAGUGACGGAUUUACGUUUUGCAGAUGAUGUUUUAAUCUUCACCAAAGGCAGCCUAGAUUCUGUGCUGUGAGUAUAGAGUUCAUUGCAGAUUUGUUUUAGCACCUAUUUGGCAACAACCCAACAACACCCAAAGUGAGUUUUUACUCACGUAUCCAGCAAAGAGACCUACAAGCUACUGAAUUCAAACUUGGCACUCUUUCCAUACGCUACCGUAGUAACCAAGGAUCGGUCACUAGUUGGACAGCCUACAACUGAUUCGGUCUUAUUCUUUUCAACCUACAUAAUUAUUGGUGCAGGCACUUGUUAUUUACCUAUGCUCUAGUUUCUCCUGGAAGGAACAAACAAGUGGAUUGGCGAACCAGAAUCAAAGGAUGCUCUUGAGCCGCCAUGCAUUCUCAAGCACUUAUGAGCCUUUUUCAUGAUAUUUGGAUCAUUGUAGAUAGGAUGGCCCCAAUCCCAUGUGUUGAAAGGAAGAGAUCUGUGUGGAGCAUGAGGCAAUUACUUAACAUGAAGGGAAUAGUCACAUCGUUCUUGAUCAGGUUUGAGCAAGGAGUCAUCUGAAGUGUACCUGGGUACACCUCUUCUACAGCUACAGCUUGGGAAGCUCUUACACCUAAAUUUCAGGAGGUGGGGUGCCAUCGAUUUGUUUGGUGCACUCUCUAUAUCCCUAAGCAUGUUAAGUAGACAAGACUUGGCGUCAAGGAACCACAUCUUCUGGAGCUGCAGAUAUUCCCCAAAUAAAAAUUAAAAAAAUCAUAGGACGGCAAAUGUUGCAGCUUUGGGGAUUACUGAGGAGGGUAGUAGAAUGGUAGAGAGGGAUCCAUUGGGCCAUACACCAGCUCAAAGACAACUUUUAUUUCCGUAGUCUUGCAAAUUGCUUAAGCGGCCUCCAUAUACCACACCUUCGGCAAGACAGAAACAAGUGACUCUUUUCUACUGAAAGAUUAACAACAGGCAGGCCAUGCAAAUAAUUAAAGAAGUCAGAAUGAGAAUAACAGGACUCAACAGCAUUGAUGAAGACAUAAUCAAUAAGAGAAUUUCUGAGGAAUGGAGGAUAUACAUGAUUCCAUGUUCUUACACUAAAUAUCUGACGUCUAGUUUUGUUGUUGCUGUUUUUGUUUGAGUACUCUGCAAUGAUAAGUCCUUUAAUUGGAUCCGAGAUUCAAUAGCAACAUUAUUGGGAUGGAAAAGAGAAUAUCAUAACUACUAGCAUGUGAAAACCAUUCAAAAUUGCUACCAGAUAAACAAAGAAAUAAAUAGAAAGCUGCCAUGGCAGUUAGAUCUCAGUCCAACACAUCAGAUGCAUAUACACCACAAGGUUUUCAACAUUUUAUACAAGAAAUACUAGCCAAAUUAUACAAUUUAGUAUUAUAGAGAAGUUAUAUAAAGCUCUCCACCAUUGUCAAUUCAAAACUCAUAAUCGGUAUCAUAACUAAUCAAACCAAAUCUACAGCUUUUGGUUUUUUGUUGUACAAGAGAGAGAGAGGGAGAGAACCUGCGCACUGUGCUAGAAAAAUUCUUAUGAAUCAAAACUGGCAUUAAAUGGCAACACUGCAGCAUUUACCAGCUAAGUCACUGUCUCUCUCUGAGUCUUACACCUGUAGAAGGAAAAGUAAACACCGACCGGUGAGUUUUCUCCAAAAUAAAGUGAAACAUCUUCCUUUAAGGGAAGUCCGCAAUGUCAAACUGUCAACCUAUUUGUUGUUAUACUCCCAUGGUAUGGACUCACCCCUGCUCUUGCAGAGAUGCAGUGAAGACAACGUCUUCAGAAAUCAAAAUUUCCACAAUUAUCAUACAUAUUACAUGCAAUAAUUUAAGUAGCUAAUGUACUAGAACCCACUAAUAGAACAAAGAAAAAUUCCAUAAUCUUAUGCAGGCAACCAUAUAUAAUAUUAAGCAGUUUUUAUUUCUAAUACUAAAUCACUUCAGACAUCAAGUGAUCAAAUUAUUGAUGGAUAUAAGGCACAUCAAUCACAUCAUAUUUCUGCUGACCACAAUCCUCGCAUAAUUCAGCAUGUAAAAGCCACUACUUAGCUACUGACCUGUUGCAUUGAGCUCGAGAUGCAUAAUUGUGAUUGUUGCAUUUUGCACACAUCCAAUCUCCACUACGCCAUUGUUUUGCGCUGAUAAACGAUGUUCAAAAAUUUGUAGCUUUAAAAAGCAAUCCUCCGAAUCUCAUGAAAAAUAUCAUAUUUGCUAGACAUAUGACUCAGCAUCUAGAUGCAAAAAACGGAACAUAAACCUGAUUGGAUACUACAUUCAAGCCUACAACCAAUAAGAGGCAAGAGAACUUUAAAUAGCAAUCUAGAAGCAAACAACACCGAUUUCAGGACCAGUUCCAGUAGCUAAAAAUCAUUUACAAUAUCUAACAAGAUUAAGGACUGGAAAAAAAAUAUCAUUGCCAUAUGUUGACAAAGGAGUUAAGUAUCAUCUAACUCAUGAAAUGAAUCACUUUGUCCAAGAUAUACAACAAGCAUGUAAUAAGGGGUCAACAUAAUAAAAAAUUACCCUUUUCCAAGAAGAGUUGUUGCAGCUUGAGGAGGAAACGGAAUGGGUGCUGGCCAAUUUGAAGCCACAGCAGGAUUUAUACUGGGAUAGGAAGGAUAUGCUCCAGGUUUUGGGUCACUGGUGGCUCCUACCAUUUGGUCAAAUCCAGGAUACAGUUGUUCGUCCUUGCCCUGAAAACCCAAAAAAGGGGACACAGUAGUUCAGUACUUAAAAAAUUAAAACCCUGCUGGAAAAUAACAAUAAUUAUAAAUGCCACAACAGAACUGAUUACUUACAUUUCCUAAAUUUAAUCUUUUAUGAUCCCAAUCAUGUACAAAUUCUUCAGAUGCUAAUCGCUUAGUUCCAAGUGCUAUAUAACCCGAAAAAGGAAAAUGAGAAAGAGGCAAAGACUAAGUUACUAGUAGUAGAAAAAAAAAACCAUCAUAUCAGAAUAUAAGCAUUAAAAGCAAAACAAAGCAAAUGAAUGUACCUGGUGGUAUGGAUGCAUUGCAAUUUUUGCACUGCAAAAACAGCCGAUUGGAUCAGAAAAAUAACAUGGAAUAUUUUGUAGAGUUCGUAAUGAGUAAAAAGAAGAAAGCUGAAUCCAGUUUAGGCAGCAAGAUAAGACCUGUGAACGUGAAGAGUAAUUAUGGAAGCCACAGUUGCAAAUCCAGUCACCAUUUCGCCAUCCCUUUGGAACAGAAAGGGGCUGAUUACCAGGAUUUGCAUAUGCCCCAGGAGAUUGGUUUCCAGCAACAGGCCAUGUUGGUGCUGACUGAAGUCCACAAUUAUCAGCCCCUCCCACAGACCAAUUGGAACUCAAAGGAAGGAACUGUUGGGGAGCACCACUGCCUACAAAUCCAACAUUCAUCUUUUGCUCCAGUGCUCCUAGGGCCCUUGCAAAAUAAUGUGAAUAGGUUGGGAGAGAAGCUCCAGGCAUUGCAAUUGCUGGCAUUGCUGCAAUCUCCUUUGGUUGCCCGCACUUUUUGCACUUCUCUCUUGAUGCAUAAUUGUUGUUAGUGCAAGCUAUUGAUCCAUUGCCACACACACCCCAACCCACAAUGCAGCCACGAAGAGGACAAGGAAGCCAAGCACACGCACACCAACCAGUUCAUCCCAUACCAAAGUAAACAUACAAAAAACACAAACCACUCAACCUAAUUGAUACUGAUUUCCUAACCUCAACUUCGCAAAGCACAUAUCACUAUAUUUCAUCUAACAUGUUACAUUCAUAAACAUACAACGGCCAAAAGUUAUGCUUUCGAAAUGGCAACUCUGUCAACAAUUACCAUAAAACCAGCUGUUUUACCGCGAAUUAACAUAAGUAAAGCAGAAAAAAGUUCAAUAAACUCUCCCCAAGUCAUUGUUUAAAGACAACCCAUCGUAAUCUUUAAUUAGGCAAAGGAAAUAUGGAAUUUUGACAUGCCCUUUGUUCUAUCUCAGCUAAUGAAAUUCCAACUAUUAUCAAAGCUAAUAACACAGAUAAACUCCAGAACCCAACUUUUGAUGUAUAGUCUUAAAUUGAAUAAUUGAAUUAACCAACAUGAGUAAUAAGAGGAAAUAAUAAGGAAAAAAAGCCCAAAAAAAGAGAAAGAAGUAUAAACUGACCAGUGCAGAUCCAAUCACCAAUACGAGGAAGCCAUUUGGAAUCAGCAGGAGUUUUGGUGUCAACGAGAAGACGAGGCUGCUUACAUCUGUUACAGAAGGAUCUAAAGGCAUAGUUCCUGUUCUUGCAUACACUGCACUCCCAGUCUCCUUCUCUCCCUUCUCCCAUUCCUUCCCCUCCCCUAUUAAUCGUUUGUUUAUGUACAAAUCAAAAGAGUAAUAAGAGCUUGUUGCUUGGGAAGCAGGAGAAAGUAAGAGGGGAGGUCGGGGGCACCCUGUAGAAAUUUGAAAAAUGAAAAUUGCUGCAAAUUGUGAAAGUCUUGGGAGUUGGGAUCGAUGGAGCGCAACAAAUAUCAAAGAAUGUGGUGAAAGAAAGUUCUUCGUCAGACAGGGCAGGGCCUAAAGACCGAGAGAGAUGAGGGCCAUCAGGCUAAUUUCUACUCUUCCUUGGGAUUAAAAUUAAGCCUCUAUUGUUGUAAGGUGCUUGCUUAUGUGGGCUUUCUUUAGGCUUCAGGGUACAGGCCCAUCUUUUCUCGGCUCAAAUAUCACCAUGCAUUGCAAGGUUAUCAAGAUUCUCGACUCAAAAACUAUGGCUUCAGCGUCAACCUUGUCACAAGAUCAGGGCAGUGAGUAGUACUGAUAUAUGGAGGUGUUAUACACGUUAGUCAAACACAUAUUUAGAAUGAUAAAUAAAUUUAAAGACAGAUUUCGAAUGAGUUUAAUUUAAGCUCAAUCCGAUAUAUUAUCAAUCUAGAUAACCAUCCCAAUGUUCUUAUUUUUAGGAAUUAAUCAUGUUUCGUUAUCUCCUAAUCUUUUUUUAUUUUAAACCAUUCUUACUUCACAUUAAUGUCUAAACAAAUCAUUUUUAAAAAAAUAAAUUUUCAUUAUAAAUCAAAGAAAAUGGUGGUGUUAAAUGUUUCACUACAUCCCACGUCUCAAUCCAUUACCAAAAACAAAACAAAUGAACAAACUUUUUCAAAGAAAAACACCAGCAAACGAACAGACACCAUUAAAACAAAUAACAGCACCUUCCUUCAAUUCCGAUGAAAACCCAAUCAGAUCUCUCCGCGGCAGCGCCCCAUAUUAUCCUUGCGUAUGCACUCUGACAGAUCAAGAGGAAAGGAACUUUGGAGACCAAAUGGAGGUAAAAAUGAUAGGCAUCUCCAAAACUAACUGUCGACCUUCAUCUUCGAAAAACCCAGCGCUGCAAAUCUCUAAACAAAUAGUUUUUUAAUGGGUAAACUACCAAAAUAGUCACUUUUGUUUGGCUCAAGUUACAUUUUAGUCAUUUAUGUUUGAAAUGUUACGUUUUAGUCACUUAUGUUAUCACGUUGUAACAUUUUAGUCACUGAGCCGUUAGUUUCUGUUAACGGUGUAACAGUAAACUGAUGUGGCACGUUAAAUCAUCAUUUCAAACAAAAAUUCUAGGUUAAUUUAUACAAUCGGUCCCCAUAUUUUUUCGUUUGGAGCAAUUUAAUUUUUUUCUUUUAUGUUUUUUUAACUUUCUUUCUUUUCCAUUCUCUUAUGCUUCUCCCUUUGUUUUCCUCCCUUCUCCAUUUCUUUCAACGUAGUUUUUCUAUGUUUUUUUUGAACAAUUUAAUUUUUUUCGAGUGAGACGAGCUUGUGGAAAGCAUAGAAAAACUAUGUUAAAAGAAAUGAAAAAGGGAGGAAAAUAGAGGGAGAAGCAUAAGAGAAUGAAAAAAAAAGUUUGAAGAACAUAAAAAAAAAUUUUAAAUUGUUGAAAAUGAAAAAAUAUAGGGACCAAUUGUAGAAUUUAACCUAAAAUUUUCGUUUGAAAUGAUGAUUUAAUGUGCCACAACAACUUACCGCACCAUUGUCGAUAAUUAACGACUCAGUGACUAAAAUGUUACAACACAAUAACGUAAGUGACUAAAACGUAACAUUUCAAACAUAAGUGACUAAAAUGUAACCUAAGGCAAACAGAAGUGACUAUUUUAAUAGUUUAGUAUGUAAAAGUUAUGUCAUAUCUAAUAAUCAUAACCAACAAUUACACACUUUGUGUAAUACACACAAAUUUAUUUUAAAAAAGUAAGGCAUCGUUCAUAAAACCCAAUUACGCGAAAUAUUAUCAUUGAUAAAUUAUUACUACAGUUUAAACAAGUUCUUCAUCCCAAUUUUCAUGCCUUUGGGUGGGAAAUAAAAUUUGGUAAACUACAAAAAUAGUCACUUGACUAUGCUUUAAUCAUCCAACAAUUAAUUUUUUAAAAUUAAAUAUUUUAAUCACUCUUCCAUUAAUUGUCAGAGAAAAUUGACUUGACUUUUAUUUAUUAGCCUAAUAAUAAAUUUAACCCUCAAUUUGAUAUUAAAGUUUAAAAAAUUCAAUAAAAUUAACCUUCAACAUUUACAAAAUCUAUCAAUUUAAUAUUAAAAGUUUUAAAAAUAUUUUUAGAUAAAAAUGAUUAAAAAAAACUGGAUUCAAAUCUACUAAACCCUCUUGUUCAUACCAAAAGUAAUAAAAUUGAUAAAUUUAUCAUAAUAUGGAUUAAAUGAGGUUUGGGGUUAGUAUUUUUAUAGUUUGGUUGAAAUGCGUGUGUGCAACAUUCCUUUUCAAGGAAUAAAUGGACAAUGAAACUGUACAACAAGAGUAAAACCUCUUAUUUUCUUUGGUUUUCCAUCACCUUUUUUCUUCUAAUUUACAUGGAAUCACAAUGGCACCAAUUUAGUAAUCUUAAUUUAUCUGAGGGACUUAAGACCUAAAAUAAGUCAAUUCGUGUUUAAGAUAAGAAUAUAUCUAGAUUUUCCUUCACUUAAUGCAAUUAAAUUUUACAUUUGCUAUUAAGUGAUUAAAUAAUUGAAGGAGAGAUAAUUAAUUAUAUUAGUUUAAUGAAGAGUUCAAGUGCAUAAUUUGAUUUACUACUUUGAGAAUUUACUUCUAUUACCUAUUUAUUUAGUUUUUUUUUCAAUAAAAAUAGAACCUAUAAUCUAUAUAAAAGCACGAGUUUGAAUUUUUUUUUGAACUGAUGAGAACGUUUUUUUUAUCAUAUCACUAAAUUUAUAUUUAAAAAUAAAUAUAAUAUUUAAUUUAGAAUUAUUAGUUAAAAAAGUUGAAGUAAAAUACAAAUUGUGAUAAUUAUACAUCUAAAAAUAUUUAUAAUUUUGUAGAAGUUCUGGGGCAAAUUACAAAAAAAGUCCUACUUUUUAAAAAUUUACCAAAAUGGGCCCGGAAAAUAAUUAUUUACCGGAAUAGGCCCAUACCGAGAAAACGCGUCCACAUCUGCGCGCUAUCUGCUGACGUGGCAACAAAACGCGUCCUCAAGGGCACGCUUUGUCCAUGUUGACAGAAAGCGCGCUGACGUGGACGCGGUUUUCUGCCACGUCAGUGCGUCCUUGGGGACUCGUUUUCCCCGCACGUGAACAGUGCAAUGGCUAUUUUUGACCAUUGGUGAACCCCCAACGGUCAAAAAAACACUAUAAAAACCCCUCACCCUUCAUUUUUUUCACAAAUUAAUCAUUUCUCUAUUAUUCUCUCGACAACAUCUCAAUUUGCUCUCAAUUUCCUUCCAAAUUUCUCUCAAAUCCCUAUUAGUUUUUAGGGUCAAAUAUAAAUUUACAAUUAUUAGUUAAAAAAGAUUGUGCUGAUUUUAAAAUAGUAUUAUUACUUAAAUAGAAGUCUAAGCAUAAAAUAUAGGAAAAAUUUGUGAUAAUUAUAAUUAUAAUUGAAAUUGAAAUUGAAAUUAUUAGUUUAAAAUUUUGUGCUAAUUUUAUUGAUAUAAAUUAGAGUUAUUACUUUAAUAGAAUUAUAAGCAUCUUAAUUAUCACUUAACUAAUAUUAGAGUUAAUUAUAUUAGUUAUCAUUUUGAAGAAUGUUACUUUACAUUAAUUAUAUAAAGUAAAACUAUAUUAUAUGUUGAAUAUGUUAAAAAUCAAUAACAAAUAAAUGUUAAAAAUAAACAUGAUUUGAAAAUUCUCUAUUAUGAUAUUUGAAUAGGCAAGUUAAUAUAUUUUAAUUAUAUCCAAUAAUUCAAAUAAGAAAUAUUAUUUUUAGCUAAUUAUUGUAAAUAAAAAAUUAAUAUUAAAAAUUAAUUAAAUAUUAAAUAAGUAAAAUCACAUGCAAUGCAUGUGACAUGAGAAGCUAGUACAUUUGUAUAAGCGUGAGUUUUGAUAAACUUUUGAAUUAAGGAGAAUCCCCUUUAUUGUUCACUAUAUUAUUAAAUUAACAUUAAAAUAAUAAUUAGUUAAUAUUAUUAUAUGAUAAUAAUAAAAGUAAUAUUAAUUAAUAUGAUGGUAUAUUAAUGUGAAAUUAAUUAAUUUGGUAAUAUAUUUAAAAUUAAAAUAAAAAUAACAUAAUUUAUAAUUAAUUAAUAAAAUCUAAAUCUAUAAAAUCAGUGAAUAAAUUAAAAAUAAAUAAAAUUUUAUAUAUAAAUAUGAUAAUAAUUAAUAAUGUUUAAAUCAAUAUCUUUUUAUAAUUAACAAAAAUAACAUGUGUGACGUUGAUAUUAUCAAUAUAUUGGUAAUCUAAUCUAUAAAUCUAAUUAUUUAUUCAUUCUUAAUUUAUACAUUAAAACUUAACAAAUAUAUUUUAUAAUUAAAUUUAAAUAGUAACUUUUUUAUAAAUAUUAAUGGCAUCUAACCAAAUCGGUUCAAUCCAAUAUAAAAUUCGACUUGACAAAUGGUAUAUGAAUCAUAUUUAUUUGAAAAAUUAAUAUAAAGAAAACCAUUUAUUUAAUAAUUAGUAUUUUGUAUUAUUUAUAUUUCUCAUAAUUUUUAAUAUAAAAUCAUAUUUUAUCAUCAGGUUUUGUUUGGAUCACAAAAAAAAGAGCAUAAUUUUAAUUAUUAUUAUUUUAUAUCAAAUAGAUUUACUAUUAUUUCAUUUUAAUAAUAUUUCACAAUUCCCUUAUGUUAUUUUAGUCUGUCAAUUAUUUUUCAAAAUUAAUAGAGUUUAUAAAUUAUAUCAACUUUCAUUUAAUUAGUAAAUAUACAUUUUAAAAUUAUAAAAAUAUAUUAUUUAAAAAUUUUAAAAAAUAAACACGCACACGAGAUCUAGUUUUAUUAAUAAAAAUCUAGUUAAAAAAAAAAACAAAUCAAUAGUCGAUAAACUAUUAAGUCGAAAACAAAAGGACGAGCCCACAAAAACUAAUGCUUAUGGGAACGAUCUCACUUGUACUUUUAUUAUUUGAUGUAUACAUGCAAUUGCGUAAACAAAUCAUCAUGAAAGCGAGACUGUUUAAUGAAUUGUCUCAGCCCUGGUUGGAGCUAAGUCAUAUAUCUGGACAGACAAAUGGUGGAAAAGUAGGAAAAUUAAGCAUGGAAAAAAUGGACCUAUGUUGUCCAUAUGAGAGGCAACCAGGUAGGCUAAGUCCCACUAAAGUUGAACGUGAAACCUGCAUGCAUAUUCAGCCAUCUCCAUUACGUAGAUCCUCGGUCUGUUCAUUUCUCCCACAUACCACAUUACUUUGUUUCCACAUAGAAUUCUCUCUUCCCACGCUUCCUCCACGUAUAUAAAUACCUACAUUACCUUCCUCCCUCGCCACCUUUCUUUCCAUUUCUCUACGUUUUAGCCUCCUUAACUAUUCACUCUAAUCACAAGACAUGGGUAUCAAGAAAUCAAAUAAACUACCUCAAACGACAGCUAUCAAGCAGAUAAUGAAAAAGUGUUCCUUGGGGAAGAAAGAAGGGUAUGGUCAUCAAGGAAGCCUCCCUGAUGAUGUACCUAAAGGCCAUUUUGUUAUAUAUGUUGGUGAAAACAGAAGCAGAUACAUAAUCCCAAUAUCAUGGUUGGCUCACCCUGAGUUUCAAAUCUUGCUUCAGCGAGCUGAAGAGGAGUUCGGGUUUACCCAUGAUGCCGGCCUUAGAAUUCCUUGUGAAGAAGUCGUUUUCCGGUCUCUAACAGCCAUGAUUAGAUGAACAAACUUUGACAGGCUUAGUCAGGGAAUUGAAGAAACAUAGCUUUGCUUCAUUGCAGCCUUUUACAUGCUUGCUUACAUACAUACAUACAUACAUCCAUACACCCUUUUGCAUGAUAUGCGUUGUUGUUGUUUUUACCAUAACUGCUUGACAUUUUCUUUUUCUCAGCACUAUUUACAAAAUGUAUGGAAUUUUCCCUCAAGUGAAACAAAAGUAAUGAAAAGACAUCAUGGAAAAUCCAUGAUUGUGUUUUUAUGUUUUCCUUCAUGAUAAAUGAAAGAGUUUAUAAAUUUAAAACCAGGUCACAAUCACUUGUAACUGUUAAAAAAAUAAGAUUGCAAAAUAAAUUCGUUAGCACUGAUUGGAAAAUAAACCAAGCGUAAAUAAAAGAUGGAAUCAUUGUGCCGUGAAAGAAUUACUGCCUUAGAAGUAAAUUCGUCUUGAUCAGUGUAAUCGUGUAGUGGACGUUGCCCUCCAAAAUUAACAUUGGACUUCAAUAUUCGUACACAAAAAUAAAGAAGGUGGAACACAAUUGAUAUUGCUCUUCUAUGAGGAAUCAGGAAAUAAGAUAAAAAUAAACCGUUAAAGUUGGUCAGAAAAAUUUGGCCAGAAAAAUUACGCUAGGUUCAAUUCUCAAGAAAGGUUGGAGGGGUCUCACUUAAAAUUCAAUCUUCUAAACAGAAUUUCCUAAUGUAAUUUUAAUAAGAUGCAAAAUUUUUAAAAAUGAAAAGAAAGAUGAGAGAAUCAAGAAGAAUGAGAAAAGCUCUCAUUUUAUUGCUUGUAAAAAAUGAGGAAAAAUGAAUCCUAUUUAUAAAAUUCUCAAAUAGGCAAAAUGAUCUAAAAAAUUCAACGAUCAAAUUUUAAUAGUUAUAUUAUUUCAACGACCUGAAAUAAGCUAUUUCAUUAUGAUCAUGAAUUACUAGGUGAUCAUACUGCAAAUGUUGACUUAAAUUUAGCAUGCAUGUAAUUUUUAGAAAAAAGAAGAAGAAGAAUGACGUCAUAAUAUGGAGUUAACGACAAGGAAAUAAAGUGAAAGAUGUAGCUCCCAUUAAUUCGAGUGUUUGCAUUAUUUGUUAAAACAACAAAUUAAUCUAUUGAUAAGAUGGAAACCUAAAUGGUUUAUUGUUUACACUGCUUAAUCUCCUUGUCAUCAAUCUCGUACACCAUGCACAUGCAAUGAGGGUCCAUUAUUAGCUAGGUAGGGUUCCUUUAGCAAAUUUCUAAGUUAUUGUCCCUUCCAUUUAAGCAGUCCAUAAAGUGGCUGAAUUUGAUAGCCACUCGCAUAAGCAAAAGCCCAUCGGGAAUAUAUGGCAUUCAAAGUGAUGGUCCUGCGUAUUAAAUGGUUGGAAUUUGUUUUCCAUGUCUGUCACAUUUGUAGCCAUUUUCUCUACUUCCAUGUGAAAUAAAUGUAGUUUGAAUGGAUAAACUUGUGUAUUUUUUAAAUUUGUGAUUGGCAAUGGCAUAUAUAUUAGCUACAGAUGACAAUUAAUAUCUAAUCUGUUUCAUUGUUUAAUUACAAGUACAGAAAUGCAGUACUGGGUGGAGGUGGGUUAGGAGGAGUGGGUUGUCAGUAAUUGAAGUACACAGAAUAUAGAUUAUAUUUAGGUUAAUUUGUUUCCAGAUGUUUAAUCAUGCAUGUGAGAUGUUGGUAGUCAAUAAUGAUGGAAAUUAGGUAAUAAGUUGAAUGCAUUUGGGACUUAUUUUGUUGACAACUAUUCUUAUUUUGUAUUGCUUUCAGAUUAUAUGUUGAACAACAUGGAUAAAUUUUUAGUAUCACAUCUAAUUAAGUCUUAGAUUUUUCAAUUGAUAUAAUCUUUUAUGUUUUUCAUAAUCUUUUUUUUUCAACAAUAUAUAUUUUACAAUCUUGAUGUAAUAAUUUGAGUAUUGCGCAAAAAAGUAGGGAAUUUCAAGUAGUUUUUGAAAUAGGGAAGAUGUCUAAUAUUUUUAAAGCUUUAAAUUUGCUACUUGGAUUGUCUAUGCUGUUUAGUAUUAUUUUAGUGUGAAUUUUCAAUGUAUGAUUAUCUGUAAAUUAUACUAAGACAAUAUCAGUGAAAACAAUUAAUUGAGAGAAGUUAACUUGAGUGUAAGUUGAGGAUAAACAAACGCUUAAGUCUGGGGAUAUUUGAUAUAAGUGCUAAAAAUAACAUGUUUUAAUCUCAUUCUUAAUGCGUUUUUGGGUGAUUAUUCGAUGUUAAUGAUAAAUUUUAUGCUCCUAAUCCUUUAAAUUUAUGUUUUUAUACUUAGGAGAGCAUUUGGGAGCAAAAGGAGCGAAAACUGAAAAAUUGGAGCGAGUUACAAGAGCCACACGAGUUGGACCAUUCCACACAGCCUGGACACACGGCCGUGUGAGCCAUAUGGGUUACCAUAUAGCCAUGUGGCAAGCUAUGUCGAUUUUGCGAAUUGCACUCCGAACAAUGGAAGAACGUGAUUUUUAGGGUUUUUUGGGCAUUCUAAGACCUAUAUAUGACAAAAAUAAGAAGAUAUGAGCAAGCCGUCAUAGAAUACUCAAGAAAACAACUCGAAAAAUACCAUUGAAGCAGAUUCUGAAGCAGAUUUCCAUCAAGAUUGAAGAUUUCCUUUUGAUUUUUUUGGAGAUUAUGAUGAGUUUCUUUAUUUCUUGUGGUUAUACUAUAUUUUGGAUAUUUUUAUUUGCUAACAUGAACUAAUUUUCUGAAUACCUAGGGAGCUGAUGACCCCUAUGAUGAAUUCUGUCUUUUGAUUUUUAUUUUACGCAAUAAAGACUUGAUCUUAUUUUCAAUUAUGUGUGUUUAAUUCUUGGUUUAAUAUUUCUAGACUAUUGAUCAUAUUUGAUGUGCUUAAAUCAGAGGAGGAAUAAACCAUGUUUAAGAGUAGAUCUAGCAUAAUUAAGUGGAGUUGCAUGCAAUCCUAAAAAUAGGACGACAUAAAUCUAUCGGAUUAGAAUUAAAUCUAAUAGGGGAAUUUAUAAAUCGAGUUAAUGCGAUAAUAAAUGUUUUAAUUAGAAAGAAAUUUCAAUUAAUCAACCUAGAGUCAGUUGCUCUUAUUCUUGAAGAGAUAUAUUAACAUAAUUUAGGGAUCUCUACAAAUCAAGAUACUAAGUGAAGAAGUUGCAUAAUUUAGAUUGAUAAUGACAGAUGAAAUCUAGGUGAAUUCUUUCUUGGGUAUUGUUUCGUUUAUUGGUUGUUUACUUGAUUAUUUUCCUGAUUAUUUCCCUGAUUUGUUCUUUGUUACGUUCUUAGUUAAUUAAUUUAGUUAAUUUUAGUUUUAAUCAAUCAUUCAAAUUUAUCGGUUAAAUAAUAGAAAAAUAAUAAUUAUUAGUACUUUUAGUCUUCGUGGAAACGAUAUAUUUGCUCAUCAUAACUAUACCAUUAAUUGAUAGAUGCACUUGUCUUAGUUGGAUUUUUAGUUGGUUUCGUAGACAUCAAGAUGGUUUAAGACUUUGUUGUAUCUUGGAGGCUUAAUAAAAUCUUAAGAAAAGUGUCUCAUGCUUCAAAGUCUAUUUUUAUUACUUUAUUAUACAUUUUUCUAAUAACAAUUUCUAGUAUGAUCAAGUAAGAAAAACCAAGAAACUAAAAAUUGAUUCGAAUUGAUGUUUGAACAUAAAAUGAAAAAGAAGUUAAAAAAUGCAGUUAACUGAAUUGGAUUUUAUUUUUAAUUUAUUUUUUAUGAUGUAAAAAUAAAUAUUUUAUAUUUAAAAUAAUGAGAAAAACUUAAAAAUUUUAUAUAAAAAUGUAUUUUUAAAAAUAAUGUAUUGAUUUUUUAUUGUAGUUAACUUAUGAAAGUAUCGGCACUCAUGGAUGUCGAGUUACAUAUAAUUUAUUUGUAUUUAAUUUUUAUCGUUGGGCAAUUAAACCCUAAUAAAUACAACUCGACCUCAAUAUCCAUGAGUGUUAAGUUAUUCUUUAAUUAAAAUUUAACCAUUUAAAAAGGCUUAAUACACAAUUUGGUACCUAAGUUUGAUACUUUUUUUUUCUAAUGUGGUACUUAUGCUAUUUUUUGGUCUAAUGCGAUAUCUAUAUUUGAAAAAGCUAUACAGUUUGGUACCUGAAGGUAACGGUGUUAAGUUUUUAAUUAGUGUUUAAUUCAUAUUUUAGAGUUGAUUUGAUAAAAAUUCAUAAUUAGCUAGUAAUAGUAGCAAUGAAUUUUGGUCAAAUCAACCCUAAAACCCAAAUUAAAUGAUCAUAUAUCCAUGAUUUUUUGUAUUUCUGUACGUCAAGUUAAGUUCUUUUGACACUUAAAGAGCUAGUGCUUAAGUAUUUUAUGAAGUUUUUUAAUUGUUUUUUGUUACUUAUUAGAUUUUAUGUUAGAAGGUAGUUUUAUUGCGUUUCUUUUACAUUUGAGACCCAAAUUGGUAAAAUUAUGUCAUUGGAAGUUUAAUGAUUAAUUUGAGUUAGUGUAGGGAGGUGAUUGACGUUGAACAUAAAAAAGGACUUUUAUUGUGGCCGAGAUCACGACACAAGAGGCUGUGUGUCACGACACUAACCUUUCCACCACCUCGAGGAAGUUGAACUUCACCAAAACUCAACCUGGAGUGACUUAUUAUGUAACGACUUGAUAGUCGCAGGUGUCAGAAAAUACAUUUUCGGGACUCCAUUUUUGUAAAUCAGACUCGUAAAUAUUUAUUAAAAAUAUUUACGAAAUCGGUUGUGCAGUUAAUUAGAUUUUGGUUAAGUGAAUCUACAUGAAUUAAGAAUAAUUAGGUAUAAGGACUAAAUUGCAUAUAGAGUAAAAGUUGAAUUAUAAAUUAAAGAAAAAUUAAAGGAAUUAAAGAAGCAAUUAUGCCAAUGAUCAUAAAUGAGGCGGCAUAAGGCUAAUAUUAAUAUAAAAUUUAAAGUUAAUAUAUAUUAUAAUAGAUUUACUUAACAUUUAAGUAUAUAUAUUAUAUUAUAAUAAUAAAACAAACAAAUAAAAGAAAAAGAAAGCCAAGCCAAAACGACAAAAAGAAAGAAAAAGAGAAGAAGAAAGAAAGCCACGACCUUAGGGGUUUCAAUUUUCUAAGUUCAAUUGGUUAGUCAAUUUAGUCCAUUUUUUUUCUAAUUUUUAUGUUUUUGGAAUCUCGGUGUUAAAUACUACUCGACCCAUGUCAAAAUUUUAGAAAUUAUUAAGUUUUUAAGUGUUGUUAAUGCUGAAUAAUUUUAGUAUUAGGGAUUAAAUUGAUAUAUUUUUAAGUUAGAAAUGAAAAAGUAUUGAAUUGUACAAUAAAAUGUAAAUUUUGAGUAAUAGGGACUAAAUUGUAAAAAAAUGAAAUUUAAGAAUUUAAGUGAAAAUAGGGAGUUAAAUUUAGUUUAAAGUGGAAUUUGUAUGAAAAUAUAAGAUUAAUUGUGAAGAAAUAAAAUUAGUCUCGAUUUAAGGACUAAAUUGGAAGUUAGGCAAAUAUUAAGUAAAAAUUGAAAUUUUCAAUAUGAAAUUAAAUUGUGCUAUAUUGAUGAAUUUUAAUUGUUUUAAUCCCGUAGCUAACUUCGUACCGGAAUCCUCGACCAAAAAGGGGAAAGAUAAAGUUGACAUCGAAUAGCUCGAAAUUUCUGGUUUGUAUUUCUAUAAUUCGAACUUAGUUAUUAAUUGUUAUAUUUUUUAUUUAAUGCAUAUGGUAAGUGUUGAGGUGAGUAUUUGACACUUUUUCAUUGAAUUGAAUUUAAGUUGAUUGAAUGGAUUGAAUUGGUAUAUAUUGAAUAUAUUGAUUAUUUGAAUUGAAAUGAAUAUUGGUUGUAUUUGAAAAGUGAAUUGGAACCCUAUUAACUUUAUUGGGCUGAGUCGGAUAUAGAUGGCAUGCCAUAGGAUUGGAAGAGUUUAGGGAUUUCUUUGACUUCAAGUAGAUGGGACACUGGUGUCAAUUUAUUACUUCGGAUUUAUUCGAUGAGGCACUGGGUGGCAAUUUACUUCGGUUUAAUCGAUGAGACACUGGGUGUCAAUUUACCACUUCGAAUUAUCUGAUGAGGCACUGGGUGCCAAACUGGGAUGUUUGGUUGGAUCCAUGUAUCCGUCCAAGUCCAAGUCGUGUUAAUAGGGGUAAUUAAUUGAAAUGGCACUAUGAUUGAUAUUAGAUGAUAUUGUAUGUGAAAUGAAAAUGGGACAGUGAAUUGAAAUAUGGAUUGAGACACAUGAAUUGUGUAUUCAUGAAUUGGAUAUGGAAUGAACAGUAUUGUUGUUUAAAUGAUAUGUGUAUCAUAUUGUGGAAAGCUAUUAUAUAACAAAUGAUGAGAAUUGAGUAUGGUAUGAAUGAUGUAUUUAUGAAUUGAAUAUUGAAUGACUAAUGUCAUUGUAUGAAUAAAUGUAGUUUUUAAUAUUCAAUUGUGCUUAUAAUUAAAAUGUGCAUAUUACAUUCUCUUGUCUUUAAAUAUUUGGAUUAUAGAAAUACCACUGAGUUUCACUCAGCGUAUGGUUUUGUUUUUCGUGCACAAGUUUGGUACUUAAUUUUGAUUGCCAAUUCAUCAUCCAACAACGAUCCCAAACUCAAACGAGGUGAUGUUUAUCCUUUUGAAAUGUGUUGGCAUGUACCUAGGGUGUUUAAAUAAUAGUUAUUUUAUGAAUUGUUUGUAAAUGAUAUUAUAAAUAUAAUGUUGUUUGGUAUAUAUAUAAACAUGUGAAAUUAAGUUAAUGUUUAAGUGUUCAUGAAUUAGGCAAAAUAAAAUGAAUUAGGCAUGAUUUAAAAUGAUGAUUUGAAUGAUGUUUUAAUGAUAUGAAAUGAUGAUAUAAUUGUGGUACCUAUGAGGGUACAUUGGUUAGACACCUAGGUUGUUUGUUUGAUAUGAUUUGGAUGUGUUUGAUUGUGUUUUGAAUUGGUUAAACGAAUGAUUUUUGAGUUGCUUAUUGUCCAAACUUGCGGAGAAUGGUAAACUUGUUGUUUAAGGUACAUUUUGAGUCCACAUGACCAGACACAUAGGCGUGUGACUGGGCCGUGUGCACACGGGCGUGCAAGGCCAUUUCGAAAGGGCACACGGUCUAGCACAUGGGCAUGUGGCUCGGCCUUGUGACCCAAGUCAGAUAGUUACAAGGGUAUAGACACGGAUUGGGACACUACUAUGUGUCCCUACUUCAAAUAGCCACACGGUCUAAGACAUGGUCGUGUCUCUUGGCCGUGUGAGUCACACAGCCUGACCACACGGCCGUGUGAACCCUGCAGCUUUGAAAAUUUUUAAUAUUUUUCAAAAAAUUUCCUGAGUUUCCGAAUUAGUCCCGAUUUGUUUCUAACGCGUAUGUAUGAGUUUAAUUAGUUUUUGACCUGACUAUAAUAUGAUAAGAAAUGUUUGUAAUUUAUGUAUGUUUGAUCAAUAAGCUUCGGUAAUGCUUUGAAACCCUAUUUCGACAACGGAUGUAGGUUAGGGGUGUUACAUAUUGUGGAGGUCGCAACACUGAGUAUAGAGUGUCACGACACUAAGCCUUAAAGUUGCGAUCCUAUGCCCUCGAGGUUGUGACUCCAAGCCAAAUGUUGAAGUGAAGGGAACCUAGUGGCCUGUCGUCCAGGUCACGACACUAGCAAGGUCAUGUCGGGACGCCGAGUGUCCCUCAUGCAUUCUUCAUUCCAACUGCCAUUGGUGUCGCAACAUCAAAUUUUGACAAGUGAAAAAACUGUAGAGGUAAUUUUAUGUCCAAAUAAGCUUAAGUCACUUUUCUUUUAAGAGUAUAAUUGUUAAUGUUAGGUUAAAUACUUUAUUGGUUGAUUGAUUAGUGGGUGACUUAACUAAAUUAUUAUAUAUGCUUUGAUUAUUUGUUUAUUCAAUUGUAUCGAAUCACAUAUUACACUAGAAUUGACAUCUCUAGUGGAAGAUUUAGAUAGACGAGACCGAGAGGAGAUGUUAUCAUGUAGGAUUUCGAUACUUGUGUGCCGAAUAGUGAGACCGAGAUGAUAUUUUUAUGCCUAAGUGAGAUCGAGAGGAAAGCUUAGGUGAUAUCCUUUAGUUUAGGAUGAGACCAAGAGGAGAUUCCUAGCUAAGAGUGACAAACAAUAUAAUUAACAUAGAUUUAUUAGUUUAGCCAGUGAUUAAUGAUUCAUUCGACUAUCGUUUCAAUCCCUUUGCAUUUUUCUAGUAAAAAUGAAGAAAGUUAGUUUGAUAUUUUUAUUUGUUAAUUUAGAAUUUAACUUUAAUAUAUUUUCAUAUUUGGUUUGCGCUACUGAUUUUUGACUCAAGUAGAUUAGUAAUUACUUAUCUUAUAAUUAAUUUGACAAACACAUUUAUCAAUUUGAUAAUCUUUUAGGUUCAAUACUUGAAAUAUUCUGUGUGUUCCAUAGUAACAUUAUAAAUACUACAACUUGAAAUUGUCACACUUGCAAUAAAAGUCGCUUUUAAAUACUUAUAUUUUGUGCUAAUUCUUUGCUCAACGUACGUAUGUCGUAACAUGAUCAAGUUGUUGGUGUCGUUGUUGAGAAUCGUAACAGUGUAAAUGUGUUGUUAAGUUAGUCGUUUCAAAAGAACAAUAUUAGUCAAAAGACUAAGGGAUUAGAUAAUGCAUUACCUUUUCAUGUUUUGUGUUUUUUUUUUGUUUACCUUGUUGAAGACUUCAUUUAAUCAUGUUUAAUAAUAAUGAUUAUAGGUGACUAAGAGACCAAUACGGAUUUAACUCAAGGUCGAGUUUAACAAACAAAGAUUCAACGAGUCGUUGGAGUUAUGAUGGCAAUUUUGGAAGGUAAGAGUAUUUGUAUAAGCAUCAUUAUGAUUCAUAUGGAUAUGCAACUGAGAUGGGUAGCUACAAUCAAGGGUGGUUGGAUAAUUAUUUGACAUAUGAUUUGUAUUCUCCAUAUUAUUUUAAAGUAAUAUAGAGAAUGACGAGUAUACUAAAGAUCCAUCCUUUGCUAUAGGGAUUGGAUUGUUGGAGGAUAAUUGUCUUAAUGUCAAGCUACUAUGUCCUCCAUGUCCAAUACGUUGGAGUAAUUAUUGGAAGUUGUCCAAAGCAAAGCUGAAAUGAGCACUCCAGUGGAAGAGGUCGAGCAUGAGGUUCCCAAACUCAAGUAGGAGACUUACCUUACCAUAGUUGAAUAUGACAUGUAUAAUAUGGAUGUUCAUGUAACAGCCCGAUUUUUGGGUCUAGUCAGAACAGUGGUUUCAGGAUCACAAAUUGGACGAGGAAAAUUUUAUUUUUAUUAUAUGUUUAUGGUCUACAAUUUCACGGAAUGAUUUCGUGAAAAUUUCGUCCGAAAAUUUCGACGUUUGAGCACUUAAUUUAUUUAAAAGGUCUAAAUUGAUAUGUGAUCCCGAAAAUUACUACAGUAAGAGAGUAGGUAUUCUUGAUAUAGUAAAGCAAGGAAAUUUCGAGGACGAAAUUUAUUUUAAAGGGGAAAGAAAUGUAAUACCCUGAAAAUUUUUAUAGUAAGAUAUUAUCUUUAAUAUAGUAAGGAAAUAAAGUGACAAAAAGGAGAAUUUUGAGUUAUGACAACAUUGGGAAGUAUAUUAUGACAUAUUAAUUCAAGAAAGGAUUAAAUUGCAAAAGUGAGAAAAGUUUUGUUGCCCAAGAGUAAAUACUCAAAAUUUGAGGGGUUAAAGUGUAAAUAUGAAAAAUUUGAAGGACCAAUAGUGUAAAUAUUUUAAGGGUGGAAUAAUCUAGAAACUAAGGAAAAUGGAUGAAUUGGGACCAAAUUGAAUAGAUGAAGAAUUAUGAGGGACUAAAUCAUAAUUUUACCAAAUUAAGUGAUGACUCAAGAAUGGAAUUUUAAAAGAUCUAAAGGGAAAAAUGGUCAAUUAGAAGAAAGAGAAAUCUAGAAAGUAAUGAUGAUGUUGGAGAUAUUUUAGAUUAAAUAAAUAAAUAAAUAUUAGUUUAUUAAUAUUUUAAUUUGNNNNNNNNNNNNNNNNNNNNNNNNNNNNNNNNNNNNNNNNNNNNNNNNNNNNNNNNNNNNNNNNNNNNNNNNNNNNNNNNNNNNNNNNNNNNNNNNNNNNGAAAUUUUAUUAUUUUAUUUAGUAUAUAUAUAUGGAAGAAAAGAUGAAGAAUCAUCAUCUUCUUCCAUGCAACCAACGUGAGAAAAGAGGAAAAGAAAGAAAGUUUUACUUUCUUUACAAUUUGGUCCUUCCACCAAAAAUUUACCAUUUUCACUUAGAAAUCAAAAGAAUUUCCAUAGCUUCCAAGAGAGAAAAAUAAUAAGGAGACAAUGGGGAGCUAGAAUAUCAAGUUAGAUUCAAGAAAUAGAAGCUGGAGGAGAGAGAAAAUCAAGUUAAAGAUUGAAAUCAAUAGCACAAGGUAAGAACAUCAAGAUUUCAAUAUAUUUUUAAGUUUGAUGUUAUUGAAAAAGCAUGGAAAUAAUGUUAUAGUAGAGUUUUCUUAUAUAAGGUCUUAUGUUCUUGAUAUAUUAGUGAAGAGAAAUAAGUGAAAGUGAUAGGAAAUAUUAUAAAGAAAGGGAAUAAGGGAGUUAUACACCUAGUAAUCAACAUUUUGCAGUAAAACAGUUUUGGACAGCAGCAGUAGUCUAAAUUUGAAAAAUCACCAUAAAUCGUGAAAAUUGAAUUAGAGGAUGAAAAAAUAUGGAAUUAAAUCUUAUUGAGUCUAGUUUCUCAUAGUGUAAGCAAUGGAAUUGUAAAUCAUGAGUCAUAAUAAAUUUUGUGAGAUAAGGUCAGAAUGAUUUUGGGUUCCCUUGUUCUAACUUUGAAAAAUCAUAAAAAAUGGAGAAAAAUUAUUGGGGGCUUAAAUUUAGAUUUUUAAAAUCUUUAAUGAGUCUAUUUUCAAUAGAAAUAGACGGGAACAUUAUCUGAAUCUUGUACGAGGAGAUAAUUAAUUUUUAGUGAAGAAGGGUCAAAACUGUCAGAUAGCAGAAUAGGUAUGGAUUUAAAGAAUAAACUGUACUUAUUGGUUAAACCAAAAAUUCUAAAAAUUUUAUAGUAAAAAGAUAUGUGGUUCUAGUUUCAUAUAAAAUUAACGGAUAUCAAUUCGGAGUUAUGUAGCUCAAGAUAUAAAUGAUUUUGUGACUAUGACUCAAGUAAACAGCUUUGAAUGAACAAAUAAAUAAAUAGUGAAAUUAUAGAUAAUGUUACAUAUAAGCAUGUUAUAUACAUUAAGGAUGUGGAAUAGAGAGGAGGAGGAGGAAAAUAUAUGAGUAUUCAACUAGCAUGAGUUUUCAUUAAAAAUGGCUAAUUUGCAUGUUUUAGGUUCAUGGACUAAAUUGAAUAAAAGUAAUAUUUUAAGGGUAAAUUUGUAAAAAUGUCAAAAAGUGACCAGAUUGAAUGAAAUGAAUUGCUUUAUUAUUUAAAUUAAUAAAUUUAAUGAAAUAUUAAUUUAGAUCAAGAUUGGGUGGAAAUUCGAGGAAAAUAGAAAAUUACCAAAAUGUCCCUAAAUUUUGGUAUUUCUACAAUUUAGCUUGGUAAGUUCGUGUAACUUUAAUUAUAUUCUUAAAUGCUUGAAAUGUUUGUUAUUUAUGUGAAUAUGAUUUGAAUGUUCAUUGUAUGAAAAUUGAUGAAACAUUGAUAUAUUUGAUAAAAAUGGGAAGAAAUCCCGGUUGAAUGGAAGGAAAAUUCGAUGGAUCUUUGAAAAGGAAUUGACUGUAAAAAGGAUCUAGCCCGGAUGGGUGAUCCUAUCCUAAUAUAGCCCUCCCGAAGAAUAUGUGGGAAAUGGAUUUAGCCCGGACGGGUAAUCUGAAUUAGGGUCUGAAUUUAGCCUGGACUGGUAAUUCAGAUCCAAGCUCAUUAGAGUAAUUGUCAUUGUAGGGGGUUUAGCCUGGGCUGGUAAUCUCGACAAUACUCUAUGAGUUUAUAUUAUAGGAGAUUUAGCCUGAAUUGGUAAUCCCGCUGUAAGGAUGAUGUUUGCGGGAGUGUGCUCUCUGAAAUGGAAAUGUGCGCACAUGAAUAUGAAUUGACGGACCCGGAUUUGUACACUAAAGUGUACCUCUGAAUAUCCAUCGAAAUUCUGAGAAAUGCAACGGGAUAAAUAUGGAAAAAUAACAAGGGAAUGAAAAUUAUGGUAUUGAUGAGCUCAUCAAUCAUGGUAUAUAUUAUUGAUACAUGGAAAUUGUUGGACUAAUUUGAAUGUUGAGUUUGUGCAUGAUAGGGGAAUAAUGUAUUGAAUGGGCGUAUGAAUGUUUAUUGCAUUGUAUUGAAAAUAUUAGGUAAGUAUAAUUCUUGUUACAUGAACUUACUAAGCACAAAGUGCUUACCCUGUUUCUUUUUCCCCUAUUUUGUAGUGUUAAGAGCUCGGAGGUCGGAUUCGGUCAAAGACGUAUCAUACUAUCAACCUCAAGAUCUCGGUAUAUAAAGAAACUUUAUUUUGGAAAUCAAUGGCAUGUAUAAGCUAGUAAAGUAAAUGUUAAUGUGAAAUGAAUGUAUGGUUAGCCAUUGGUAUGACUAACAAAUUUUGGUUUUGGUAUGAAAUGAGGCUAUCUUAUGAAUACAUUAAAUCUAUCUUGAAAAUAUGUUGAAAUGGAUUGGUUGUGUUGGAUUGGUCUCGGUUUAAAAUUGCAGGGAAGAUUAGAUAUUUAUAAAGGGUAACGUUAUAUUGAGUUCAAAAAAAAACUUUGGGAUUUUGCGAAAAAUUUCUUAUGGUUUCGAUUUAAUCCCGGUUUGGUCCCGAUGUAUGUUUUGGGCUUCGGAGGCCCAUCCAAGGGACGUCAUGACAUGUUUCGAUGCAUGAAUAGUAUUUAACUCGUAAUAAAGAAAAAUUUAUUCGGUAAAAUCUGGUAAUACCUCAUACCCUAUUUCAGCGACGAAUACGAGUAGGGGGUAUUACAGUUCAACAAGAGUUCAUAGUUGGAGAUCGUGCUGAGAUCAUGAGAAACAAAGAUGAUAUCUUUACUUCAAUUGACAUAAGAGUAGGAGUAGAUUUAGAUGUAGAGGAAAAACUAAACCUGGAAUUAAAUGAAAGUAUGAAGGAACUAACACACUUUCCAACUAUCGUUGUGGAGAAAUCAAUUGACGUACUUCACGAUGUCAUAUAUUUUUAGUUCACCCAAUGCUAACCUUUAGUAUUUAAAAAAAGAAGAAACUUUUGCAUGUUAUAUGGGCACACAAGAAGAGACCACCGAGUAAAAAAAACACAUCAACCAACUAUAACAAUUGUUAAGUCAUCCAAUGAUAUAAUAUUAUUAACUAAUGAUAUAGAUUUUAACCAAAAGAAAAGAUAAUAGAUUUUAAUUGUAAAAAAGAAACUACCAUAUUUGGGUUUGCAACUCUUUUUUUCUUUUAUACUUUCACUAAAGAUUAUUUAAUUAUCAUUUUUAAAAUUUUAUUGAAUUUAACAACCUGGAGAUCCAUUCGGAAGAAGAAGACGGAAAAAAGAGAAAUCGUAUUGGUGGGGAGAUUGAUUCAUCUGCUACUAAGAUGAUAGCUUGGAGGAGAAUGUUCCCUUGAGGGAACAGACUAUUGGAAGGAAGCCAAGGACUAAACACCCAAAUGUUCCACUGUCACCAAAAUAGGAGAAUAGGAAAAUGAAGGAAGCUAAAGUUUCUUUCAAAACAUAUUGGGAAAUGGAGAAAGAUGAGAGGAUGUAAGGAUGGGGGAGAGAUUAUGAAUAGUUCUGGACAUUAUAUUAAAAAGAAUAAAUAUGAUAGAUAAUGUUAAAAAACCUAAAAAUAUAUAAAAAGAAAAGAAGUAGUAUUUUAUUAAAUACGAAAACAUGUGAAGGAAAAGUAAAUAAAAGUAUUUGGUUUUUAUUUCUCCUAACAUUGACUUUUAAAGGUUUUUUGUUUUUCAAAUUUUAUUUAAAGAUAUUUUUAAUUUUAUAAAAUAAAUAAUAUUAUUUAUUUUUUAACCAGUUUUAAACCGAUUGAACUGAAAAUAGGUGAUUUGAUCGAUUCGAUCGUCAGUCCGAAUCCUAAAACAUUGACCCUAUCAAAUAAUAAAGAGAAAGAAAAUUAUUUUUCCUUUCAUUUUUUUUUUAUCUUUCUUAUCAAGUACACUUAUGAAAAAAAAAUCAUGUUUUCACCCUUUCUAGUUUUUCAUUUUUUUAAAUUUCUUUCUACUCUACAAAGUAAAAGGCACAAUAAAAAAGACAAGAAAUCUCACAUAAAUUCAUGAAAAAAGAAACUUGGUUAAAUCCCACAUCAACCGACUAUAACAAACGUUAAGUCUUUAUAUGUCACUCAUCUGCAUGCCAGGUAUGUGAGGUGAGCAUUGCCUAAGCUCUAUUGCAUUUAAAAGGACAUUUACUUAAGUGUUGUGUCGGCUUUUUAAAUUGUAGAAUCGAGCUGAUAAGUAGGAUAAUUGCUUAAAUGUGUUUUUUAUUCAGGGCUUUUGUGGUUUCUUAAUAUUGUAAUCUUUUCUUCAUAAUUUCUUUUUUGGUGUGCUUUUCCUUUUGUCUGCCUUCAUGGUAGAAUCAAAGCUUAUAAGUAGUAUAGUUGAUUUUUUGUUGUUUUUCUUUGAAGCGUGUUUUUUAUUAAGAAUAUAUUAUUUAGGGGUGUUAGCUUUACAAAAAAAAAAAUGGAAGGCUGAUAUAGGCUCAAGGCAAAAGCUUCAAUGGGACUUGGUUGAAUAAAAACAUGGAAGAAGUGUUUCCCUCAAGGGAGAAAGUAUUCGCUUAUGAAAGAAGUGCAUUUCUUAAUCCCUUUGCAGGAAUUACGUUCUAUGGAUGAAAAAGAUUAGGUUUAAUUAUCCCUCACACUCAACCUUCCCCCAGAAAUUUAAGAAUUAAUUCCCAUACUUUAAGUAAAUCUUUCUAGUAGAAGAAAGAAAGGACAAUUUGGGCACUAAUAACCAAUGACAAAUUAAAGCUUUGAGUUGAACCUUGUUUCAUCACCUUAGCACCUUACUUAGCAGGAAAAAUAGCUUUGUGGAUGAGUGGAUAUAAAAAGGCUUACAACCAUUUAAUAUAGUUUGGUUGAUGUGGGAUGUAACCAAGUUUUUGCUUCAUGAAUUUAAGUUGGAUUUUCUCUAUGUUGUAUGCUUCAACAAACAUGCUAAAUAUUGCAGAUCCAUCCACUCUAGGAACCACGAGACUCGAAGUUUACAAUCAAGUCCCUUGGCUCAACUCUCAACUUGGAACGGGCAAACCAAUGUUAAAACAGCUCGAGAUCCAACUCAAGCAAAGCCAAACCCGCAUUCCAUCACCUUAAAACCUCCUACUCAGGUUACAAGCUCAAGUUACCAAGCUCGGCGACCAAUAAGGAGAGAAAGGGCUAUAUAUACAAUUAGUCCCUUUUGAUUUUGGUCGAUGUGGUAUUCUCUUUCUUUCGAGGAUGCUUUUACUUGUUGAGGUGAUGAGUUUGUGAACUUCAUGGAAAAGUUUAAAAUGAAGAUUUGGAGAAAAACUAGGCAAUAGGUUUUACAUAAUUUGUGAAGAAAUUCAUCCUGAGUUAAACAUAAUUCUAAUUUGAGACGUUGAUUUCAAUAUAUAACAUUGUCAUUUUUCCCCAUCCAAUUCAGAUCUGAAUAUCAAUGCCUUUUUAUUUUAUUACUAUAAUUUUAUAUUCCGCCACCCAAAUAAAUUAAAGUAAUGUAUCAUACCGAACAUUUCAUCCCAUAAUAUUACAUCCUCAUAAUCUCAUUACAUAAUCUUAGAUUUUUUGGUAAUAUCACAUUACAAAAAUCACGUUGUUUGCUGGAUUGGGCCAUGUUAUUCACGAAGCCUGUUUUCUCUAAGUAUUUAUGUUGUGGAUGUCUUAUAGUUUUGGACUUCUUCUAGUUGGUUUUAGGGUUAUAAUAAAAUCCAGCAGAUUUAAAUAAUAAAAAAAGAAUUGCACUUCAUAUGCCCAUCUGGCCCAACCCAAAUUUUUUGUUUCUUUCCCAAAAUCAGAAGCCCAACAACAAAAAACCCUAUAAAUCAUCAUUUAUACAUCAUCGAGCAAACCCUAACCCUCAACCUCCAUUUUGCCCAUUUCACUGCCCUCCCCUAGAUCGUCUCCAAGAGAGAGAUCUCCCACAUUCACACACACAUUCACUGAAUGGGUCGAGUCAUCCGAGCUCAACGUAAGGGUGCUGGUUCCGUCUUCAAGGCCCACACCCACCACCGCAAGGGUCCUGCUCGUUUCCGCAGCCUCGACUUCGGUGAACGAAAUGGCUACCUCAAGGGUGUUGUCACCGAUGUCAUACACGACCCUGGCCGUGGCGCUCCUUUAGCCCGUGUCGUCUUCCGUCACCCUUUCCGUUACAAGAAGCAGAAGGAGCUUUUCGUUGCCGCCGAGGGUAUGUACACUGGACAGUUCGUCUAUUGUGGUAAGAAGGCUACUCUUGUGGUCGGAAAUGUAUUGCCUCUUAGAUCUAUCCCUGAAGGAGCUGUCGUUUGCAACGUCGAGCAUCAUGUCGGUGAUCGUGGGGUUUUCGCUAGGGCUUCUGGUGAUUACGCUAUUGUUAUUAGUCACAACCCUGAUAACGACACCACCAGGUCACUGAUUCUUGCUAUGCUUUAACUUCAAUUUUGAUUUGGAUAUGAUUGAUGCCUGAUUGUUAUUUGGAUCUGUUAUCAUUAUUGUCGUAUAUUAUUUUAGUUAUUGCUUAUCCUAUGUAUAUAAUUUGCAAUAAUUAUAUGUGCUCAUAUAUAGGCCUACCUCGUGAGAAAUAAAGAAAACAUAUUGGAUGUGAAGGACUGGGAUUGACCUAGCUUGAACUAUGAAUUGAUGUAAUGUAAAAAGGAAUAGCAUCUCUUAGGUAGACUAAACCUUCUACUGAGGUUUUAGUUGGAUGGGUUGACUUAGAUUACUAUUUUCGUUCUUAGAUGUGAAAUAUCAUUUUCUUCACAGGUUCAAGGGGAUGGUAACAUGGUUGGGGAAGUGUGGAUUAAUUAGUUGUUUUGGUAGUGAGACUUUUGGAUUGUAAUUUUACAGGAUCAAGCUUCCAUCUGGUUCGAAGAAGAUUGUUCCAAGUGGUUGUCGUGCCAUGAUUGGGCAGGUUGCUGGAGGUGGUAGGACUGAGAAACCUCUGCUUAAGGCUGGUAAUGCUUUCCACAAGUAUAGAGUGAAGAGGAACUGCUGGCCUAAGGUUCGUGGUGUGGCUAUGAACCCAGUUGAGCAUCCCCACGGAGGUGGUAACCAUCAACACAUUGGUCAUGCUAGUACAGUUAGACGUGAUGCUCCACCUGGACAAAAGGUUGGUCUUAUUGCUGCUAGGAGGACUGGUAGGCUCAGAGGACAAGCUGCUGCCACUGCUGCCAAGGCCGAUAAGGCAUAAUAGGAUACUAGUUGUUUUGGCGUUUAUAAUUACAUCAAUGACUGUUAAAGCACAUUUAAGCUAGAAAUUUUGUUUGAAAUUUCAGAUAUGGUACUGUUUUGGAGUUUGGAUGACAGUUGUUUAUGUUUUCGAGUUUGGGUUUUUAUGUGAAAGUGUUUUAUGCCAGUGUUUCCAAUCAUUGUUCUAUUCGUAGCUUCCAUAAGGAUUUGGUUUACGAUUACAUAAUGUUUUCCUAAAUGGUUGGUUAUUGACGUAAUUGAAAGUUUGAACAGUUAAUAUCUAAAUGAAGAAUGACACACUGUUCAAACAUAUAUAAGCAACUUUCAAUUUCCUUUUUAUAGAACAUCUUCCAAAAUUUGUAAUAUGUUUAUAUAUAUAUAUUUUUUAUGUAAGGAUUGAUACAUAUAGAGUUUGAUUUUUUUUUUUAUGAUUAUACAUAUCAAACUUUAAUUUUUUAAUUUUAGUUAACAUGUAUACAUAAGUAUUUUAAUUCAAUUAUACAUACAAAAAAAAUGAACACAUUUUUAUAUUAGGUAAGUAUAGUUAUUUGUAUAUGUAACAUGUAAACAUAAAAAUGAUGUUAUAUCAAUAAUGAUGUUAGUUCAUGUGUAACAUUGCACAUCGAGCCAAAGUUAAUGUGUAGUUUUGCCCCUAAUAUAUAUUACUAUAUAUUUAAUUUUAUGUGUUAUAAAUUACAAAAAUAUAUAAAAAUAAUAUAAUAUAAUAAAUUACAAACUUAAAAUGGAUCAGGUCAAGCUCAGGCCUUGAAUUCUUGAGCCCGAGCUUAGUUCAUAUUUGAAAUAGGCUUAAUCUUUUAGUUUAAACCCAUUUUUCAUGGUCUACUUUUUUCCAACCCUUUCUAAUCUUUGGAUGGACAUUUAAGCUUAGGCGAUAGUUCAACCCUUGAAUAGAUCUAAAUUUGAGCUCAUAAAUUAAUUCAAAUAAAACUUACCAUAAAUUGAUAAAAAUAAAAUCAAUCAAAAAUGAAGUAAUUUAUUUAUUGAAGAAAAGAAAGAAAUACUAUUGUAAAACAUUUACGAUAUAAUAUAUAUUACUCUCGCUAAACUUCUUUAAAUUUUAAAUUUAGACUUAAUUAAUUAAUUAAUUAAUUGCGUUGGAUUAUUUUACAUUUGAGUACUUAAUUUUAUAUUUGAUAAUUAAUUGGGUAAGUUAAUUGUGCUGGGGUAUUUAUUGAAAUUAAUUAAUUAAUUACUUAAUUGUAUUUAGUUAUUUUGUAUUUAUGUUGGUUUAUAUGCCUAAUUGGUUAUUGUGUAUUUGAAUAUUAGGUUGGGUUUAAUGUUUGAUCAGCUAGUAUAUUUAAAAUAAAAAAUCAACAUAAAAAUUACCUAGAUCGAAUAAAUUGAUAAAAUUAAAUUAAAUAAAUUGAAAUAAUUCAAUUCAUGAAAGGGAGGAUUGUUUAGGGUCAAUUUGACAUUGAUGUUACGGUUGAGAAGUGUUUUUGAAAAGCUUGGUUUGGAAAUAGUGCUUUUGGAAAGUUUCGUGAGAAAAUGUUGUGAAAAAGUGUGGUUUGUUAAUUUAAGGUGUUUGGCAUUGCUGUCAAUAAUUGUGGUGGGACAUUAAAAUGUUCAUUUUAGACAUAAUAUUAAAAAUUAAAAAUAAAUUGAAUUAGAUAAUAUUUAAAUGAUUUAAUAUAAUUAUACAUAAUAUAUAUUUUAAAUACUUUUAAUAAUUAAUAAAUUAUUUGUAAAUUUAAUUAUACAUGAAAUAUUUUAAAAUUUUAAAUAUAAUAAUAAAUAUUAUCUAAAUAAUUUAACAUAAUGAUAUUUGUAAACAAAUUUAAAUAAGUUAAUACAAUGGUACAUUAAAUAUUUAAAUGAUUAAAUAUAAUGAUAUAUAAUAUUUAAAUUUAUCAAAAAUUUUAAAUACACUUUAAAUAGUUAAUACAAAUAAGGGUAUUUUAAUAAUUUACACUUCCAAAUGCAAAAGCCAAAAGUACUUAAACCCUAACUUUUGCGUUUGGGCGGAAAAAUACUUUUCUACCGCACUUUCAACCCCCAAAGCCAAGUGUUUGACAUUGUUUUUGGGGUGAAAAAGUGUUUUUCCAACCCCAAAUGCAUUCUCAAACGGGGACUUAAUAGUGUUAGAGGUAUAGUUAUCUCGUUCAAUAUAACAUUUUUAAUAUUUCAUUUGAUAAUUGUCUUCUCAAUGAUUUUUACAUGUAAAGCAAAAUGUAUAACAAAUAAUUGCUCAUUGAUUACUUGAUGUUUAAUUAAUAUUAAGUUACAUCACAUAGUCGAAUUGUAAUGCAAUAAGAUAAUUUGUAUUAAAAGGUAAUCUAAAUUCAUGGGUUAGAUUGAGUAAAUGACUUAUGUUAGGACAAUUAUGUUGUCUAUAAGUCUAAUCGGGCAGAUAACUUGCCUUGACGAUUAGAGCAAGAUUGACUCUCAAAAAUAGAGACAUAAAUGUGAUUGUCUGGGCUGACAACACAUUGGGUAUCACCCAAAUUGGAAUAGUCCUAGACUUAUUUAUUCAUUAGUUUACAUGUGGCAUUCAUAGUGUAACUUACAUAAGUCGUAAGUAAGUGAAUGAUCAUGUGUGCAUGACUCAUGUACUUGAAUAUAUUGAAAACCUAUGCUCUCAAUGAAGUGAGUUGAAAGUUGGUAUGUUGUGUACAUGACUUAUGCACGAUGUUUGCUUCACUCACAAUAGUGGAGUUGUAGCUUGAUAAAAAGAGCAAAUGAUAUUCUCUCGUUGGUAUUGUAUGGAUUAUGAAAAUAAAAUAUGGAUAUUGGUCAUUUGUCUGAGACAAAUGAUUUUAUCAUUACUAGUAUAAGUAAUGAUAAUUUUCAUUAAAAAGAUACAAUAGUGACCAUGAGAUAAAAUAAAAAGAUUAAAUUAGGUGAACAUAUUUAGCCUAAAGAGGUCUUGGAUAUCUUAGGAAUGUAAUACAAAUAUGACAAGCUCAUUGAACUAAAGCUUGGAAUAAGUAGCUUGUGUAGUAGCAUAUAAUGUUGGUGUAUGGAGAUGAGAAUAAACUAUUGAGAAAUAAACCAAACGCUUCAAGGAAUUGUUGAAAACAAUCCAGUUUGAAAAUGAUUUUCUUGCACAGUGGAAAAUUAAAAUUUUAAAAGCUGAACCAGUGUGUAAUAUUUAUAGCAAUAAACCCUUUAUCGAAAUCGCACCUAUGUUUUCUGCUGGACAGAUCAUUGUCAUUCUCAGAUUUCAACCGAAUGAUUUUCUCUACUAUUCUUGUACCACGGACUACUUUGAGCGUGGGCUCGAAUGAAUUUGAAUCAAACACGAAACCAUAAAUUAUUUACUUUGCUUUCAGUGGAAAAACAAGUCUCUCUCUAAUAAAAAUCGGUAGAAUUGUUAUUUCGAAAAAUAGAAUUUAUACUUUAGAAAAUAAAUUAUCACUAUUUUCGGGCAGAAUAACAAUAUCCCAAAGUCGUAUUUUUAGUGCAUCUAUUUAUAAGGAGAAGAAGUGAAACCUUUGUUAAAUUAGUAGAAGUCUAUUUCAAUAGAAAAACAAAAUCCUAGUCUAAUUAGAUGAGGGAGCGACGACAACCCUAGUUAAAUAUACUAGGGUUUUUCGUCCCAUGUGUUUAGCAUGAAGGUCUUUCGAGCCUCUCCCGUAUCGGGUCCAAUUAUAAGUAAUUUCUAGACUUCUAACCCUGUGCUUUAUAAUUCAAUUCAACCCAAUAUUUGUUUUUCUAUUUCCCAAAAUAAACAUCAUAAAUUAAUUUAAAUAAAUAAAUUUCCCAAUUAAAUAAAUUUUUCAACCCGAUUCUAAUUUUGUUAAAAUCAUUGCAACUUUAUCGUAAAAGAAUUUAUGAGAAAAUAUAUUUAAUAUUUCUACAUUCAAUGGAUUCACUAUGACCAAUUAAUUUAAUUCAUUUUUGAAAUUAAAUUAAUUAAUUUAUAAUUCGACAAAUUAUAAAUUAAUUUUUUAGGUCAUUUCAAUUUAGAAAAAAUCACAUUCAUUUCUGAAUGUUUCCCAUUUCUCUAACUUUACCAUUUAUAUCUAUUAUGUUCAUUUGGUUCAACAUGCAAUUCAUUUUUAGUUUCAAUGAGAUAGCGAAGAGACUGAUUAGACAUAUAUAAUUAGGGCUCAAAUGAUUUAUAAUUAAGUUUUAGUUUUUCGCCUAUUAAUUGUAAACUCAUUUAGUCACGAAGUCUUUCCACUAUAGUAUCGUGAUUGAGUUAUCCUUAAUGAAAUACCAUUACAAAAGUAACUCGAUCAGUGUUCAUCCAAUGACAUUGUCAUAAGUGUGUUACCCUCAUAGGAUAUCCUUAAUCCCUUUGGGAUAAAUCCGUUCUCCCAAUAUGAUCCUUUUUUAUCUCAUUGUAACCAUUACAUCUUCUUUCAUGAAAAGUCAAUUACUAUCAAAAUAGUAAUCAAAUCAUUCAUCAUAAAGACGAACAACUCGUGACCAUGUUUACUUUUUGUCUAUCUUGUAAUGCCGAUGAAAGGACAUCAUUUACCCAUAUCUCGGGCUAUGAAUUUUAUUAUUGUGAAUGAUGCUACAUACUGCAGAAGUCGUAUGCCUAACGUAUCAGUUUUCGGUUCCUUAUCUAUUUGAACUCAGGCUUUUACUUGUAUCAAAGUAUACAAGUCACGCAUACAUAGUUCAUCAUCCACUUAAGAUGAAACUAUGCCACACUUUGAACGUCACAAGUGAAUAAAUCCGUAAAUGGAUUCAGGAUAAAUUCUUCUUAGGUUUAGUCUAAUGUACUGUCAGUUUAGUCAAUCACAUCUAUGUCUCUAUCUUCUAAGAGUCAUUUGCUCUGAUACCCAAGACAAGGCAUCUCCCUAAUUGGACUUAAUAAACGACAUAUUAGUCUUUCAAUUGGUUUGCUUAUUUUCGAUUACACUAAGGACAUGUUUAGGUUUGUCUACUAAUAUUAAUUAAUUAAUUAAUUAAUUAAUUAAUUGUAUUUAAUUAAUAAUUAAUUAAUUAAUUAUUUUGUAUUUAUGUUGGUUUAUAUGUCUAAUUGGUUAUUGUGUGUUUGAAUAUUAGGUUGGGUUUAAUGUUUGAUCAGCUAGUAUAUUUAAAAUAAAAAAUCAACAUAAAAAUUACCUAAAUCGAAUAAAUUGAUAAAAUUAAAUCAAAUAAAUUGAAAUAAUUCAAUUCAUGAAAGGGAGGAUUGUUUAGGGUCAAUUUGACAUUGAUGUUACGGUUGAGAAGUGUCUUUAAAAAGCUUGGUCUGGAAAUAGUGCUUUUGGAAAGUUUCGUGGGAAAAUGUUGUGAAAAAGUGUGGCUUUAGAAACAAAUCUAGAAGAUUUAAAAGUUACUAGUUAUAAAUCAGAUGAAGAAAACACUUCAACUGAUGAGGAUGAAAAUAUAGAUAUCCCAGAACCUAUGGAUACUGAAUAAACAUAUCCUUAUGGAAAAAAGAAAAAUAAAAUCAGAUCUUCAAAAAGAUGACUACCUAAGAACUUUUAAUAAAGAAUUUGAAAAAGUAGAAAAUACAACUAGGAUUUUUUAUAAUAAAAUGAAAAUAUAGCUACAAAUAAUGUAAAACCUGAAGAUCCAGGAGAAACGUCUAGUCAACUUAUUCAACAAAGAAUAGAUUAUUUAAAUAAAAGAAAUGUGGCUCAAGAAGGAAUAUAUUUAGACUUAACUAAUAGUCCUAUAUCGGACUAUUAAAAAACCAUAGAUGAUUGGGCACAGUCUAUGACUAUUGUACUAAACAACAAUACAUGGUCAAAAAAAAAUUUAAACUGCUUUGUAGAAACAUUUCAAGGAGAUGUUCUACAAUUUCUCAGACGAUGGGAAGAAUCUGAGAAAGGAAAAGAAUAAAAAAGACGGUUAAUCAACCAGAUAUGAACUCCCAAAGAUCUUUUAAAAGAACUAAUUUUUAUCCUAAAAUUUUGUAGUUAUUUUGAUAAAAUAAGAGUAAAAGAAAAAUUAGAUAAAAAAUCUAGAAAAACUAGAUUGGAAGAAAUACAAACUUCAACAAUUAUUAGACAACUAAAAGUUGGAAAAAAUGAUAUAAUUACAUUCUCAAGUUUUCAAUCAAAGAAAUCUUAUACAUAAAUUGAAAUUAUAUUUCAAUUUAGAGAAUAUAAAACAUAUUUUUUACAUGCUUUAUUAGAUACAGGAGCUACAAUCAGUAGUUGUAGAAAAAAUGUUAUUCCUGUAGAAAAAUGGGAACCUAUGAGACAUCCUAUAAAGGCAAUAAGGAUAGAUGGUAAUGAAACCAUAAUUCAAUAUAAAGCUAAAAAUAUAUCAAUCUACAUAAAUAAUGUUAGAUUUAUAAUAUCAAAAAUUUUAUGUUUUCCUGAAAUGCAUGGAGACAUAUUAUUAGGAAAUAAUUUUAUAUAUCAACAUUUACCAUUUUAUAUUGAUAAAAAAUCAAUUAGAUUAACUAUAGAAAAAUCUUCUAUAGAAAUACCAUUAGUAGAAAACCAUAAGUUUGUGUGUGAUACAAAUUUUACACCACCAAGAAAAGAGCAAAUUAAACACCUAGAAACAAAUCAUUGGUUGUUUAAAAUUUUAGAGGAUAAUUUUAGUGAAGAACCCUUAAAAUUAUGGAAAAAUAGUCCUAGAUACUGUGAAAUUAAAUUGGAAAAUCCCAAUAAAAUUAUUAGAGUUAAACCAAUGAUCUAUACUAAACAAGAUAUAGAUGAAUUUGAUAUUUAAAUUAAUGAAUUAUUAGAAAAAGGUUUAAUAGAAAAAACUAAUAGUCCGCAUACUAAUCCAGCUUUUAUGGUAAGAAACCAUGCUGAAAUAAAAAGAGGAAAACCUAGAAUGGUUAUUAAUUAUAAAAGAAUAAAUCAAAAUAUUAUUUUUGAUGGAUAUUUUAUUCCAAGAAAGGAUGUUCUAAUAAAUCAAGCUAAACAAGCGAAAUAUUUUAGUAAAUUUGAUUUUAAAUCGGGAUUUUGGCAAAUAAUGCUAAACGAAGAAUCAAAACCUUUAACAGCUUUUAGUGUUCCUAAUGGACAUUAUCAAUGGAGAGUAAUGCCAUUUGGGUUAUGUAAUGCACCACAAAUCUUCCAAAGAUGGAUGGAUUUUAUAUUUAAUAAAUAUAAAUUUUUUUUUGUAGUUUAUAUAGAUGAUAUUUUAAUUUUCUCUGAUACAUUAGAGAAACAUAGAAAACAUUUAAAUAUUAUAUCUCAAGAAUUCAUAAAACAUGGAAUUAUUUUAAGCCCUAAAAAGAUAGAGCUAGAAAAAACAGAAAUAGAAUUUUUAGGAUUAAGACUAUCUGUAAAUGGUAUUCAACUACAAGAUCAUAUUAUAAUAAAAAUAAAAGAAUUUCCUGAAAAUAUUGAAGACAAAAAACAACUCCAACAAUUUUUAAGAAUUAUUAACUACGGAAGAAAUUUCUUUCCUAACUUAGCUGAAAAAAUAGGUAAGUUAUAUGAUAAAUUAAAAAAGGAAAAACCUUUCAUCUGGUCUAAAAAAGACUCAGAAAUUAUAAAAAAAAAAUCUAAAAUCUGAGAUAAAUAAAAUUCCAAAAGUAUAUUUACCUAAACAAUGAGAUAAAUUAAUUUUAGAAACAGACGCAUCACAAAAUUAUUGGGGAUGUGUUUUAAUAGCUAAAACAGUCAAUAAUGACGAGUUAAUAUGUGGAUAUAGUUCUGAAAAAUUUAAACCAAAUGAAAUUAAUUAUAUUAUAUACGAAAAAGAAUUAUUAGCAAUAAAAAAGGGAAUACAAAAUUUCGAUAUACAUUUAGCACCUGAAAAAUUUAUUAUAAAAACUGAUAAUCAAGCGAUCAAACAAUUCCUUACUAAUAAAAAUUUAGAAACUGUACCUAGAAGAAUUAGUGGUAUAAUGAAUUAUGUACUUUUAAUUUUGAAGUUUUAUAUGUAAAAAGUACUGAUAACAUUAUUGCUGAUUAUCUUAGCAGGCCUUAUGGAUAGAGGUAAAAAACUCUAAUAAAAGAAACAGUUGGAGAAUAGACGACUGUUCAUAAAAAGCCCAACAAAGGGAAAAUAACAACAAAUUCCAAAUAAGGAUUUUUAUCUGCACAAGUACCAUUUUAUCCUAAUCAAGGAUAUUAUGUGCCUUAUCCAAUAGUAAAUCAACCUAUUGAAACUUCUUUAUCAUUGACACCAAAAAUGGUAAGUCAAUCACAAUGGUCCCAAGAUCUAAAUUUGGCAUUUCAAGCCAGUUAUGCUGAUAUGAUUAAGGGAGCAGAAAAUUUGUUGAAACAAUAACUGUAGUAGGCCCAAUUUGCCCAUGCCCAAGACAAAUAAAAAAGGAGUCCAAAAUACAAGCCCAAUAAAACAAUCCAGUUUUUUUACAAACCAAACCCAAAACAAACUCAAUCCAAAUAAACCCAAAACAAACCCAAUUCAAUUACAAAACCUAAAACCUAAACAGAAACCCUAACCCUAGCCUGCCACCACCAAUUCUGCCACCUCCGUCAGUGCCGCACCAACUCUGUCGCCACUGCCCGCUUGCCUGCAAUAGAAGUGACAAAUAGAUUAAAAAAAUAAGUUGCAAAUGGCUAUAUAAGCCAUGAAGAAAAAAUAUUGUAGCCCUCGGUUUUUUUUAAUACAAAAAAAAAUUCAAGCAAAAAAAGAGAAAGAAACAUUGAAAACUAGUCUUUUUUUAACAGAGGUAUAUGUCCAUUUUUUUCGCAUGUUUAUUUUGAAUAUAGCAUACAUAUAUAUAUAUAUAUAUAUUCAAAAACAUAAAAAAAAAUUUACCUUUCUUGUGAUCGGAGAAGACAGAACCGAAGGGUUCUCUUUUUUUUUUUAGAAUUUUAGGGGUUUUAGGGCAUUUCAACCCCAAACCGAGGUUCUACUAAAAAAAAGAGCAAAAAAGGGUUUUUUGUGUUUUUCGGCCACCGCGGACGGCGGCGCCGUCGCCGGUGACCGGUGGUCGGUGCGACGGUGACUAGCCGGACCAACGACAGGUGCUAAGCUGGAGAGUGAGUGCUGAGAGAAAGUUGAGAGAGAGUUUUAAGUUUUUUUUAGAACAAGGGAUAAAUGAUUUUUUGUUUCAAAAAAAAUACUAAUAUAGGCCCUCAAAACGAUGUCGUUUUGAGGCUGGCCUUAAACGCCCAAAAUGGCGUCGUUUGGCCUCUAAUUCGUGCGUUGACCUGACCCGUCUGGGAGGAUCCGCGUGUUUUUGAUUGAUAGGUUAUUUGCACUUUUGGCCCUUCCGAUUUUCUAUUUGUUUACAAUUAAAUUUCUUUCAUUUUUUAAUUUUGCCCUAUAAUUUAUUUCAGCUCUCAAUUCGGUCGACCUUGAAGCUGUGUGUUUUGGAGGGUGGGGAUUAUUUCCCAUUUGGUCCCUCCUUGUUAUUCGCGCGUUCAACUUGGUCCUUUGCCUUUUUAUUUGUUUCUGAUUUGCCCCAAAUUUCUGUUUUAAAGUUCAAUUCAGUCAUUUUUGUUAUUUUUGCUAUUUUAUUAUUAAAUUAAUUAAUGUAAUAUUAUUAUUAUUAUUACUAUUAUUAUUUUCCUUAUAUAUUUUUUUAUAUUUUUACUAUUUUUAUUUCCAUUUAAAUACAUAGUUAUUAUUUCUUGGUGCUUUAGUAUUUAAAAUUGUCAUCAUUUUUUAAUUAUAUUUUUUUAAAUAUUUUUUUUAUUUUCAUUUCAUUUCAUUUUUAUAUUUUUAUUUAUUAUUAUUAUUAUUAUUAUCAUUAUUAAACUUUUUUAAUUAAUAUUUAUUUAUUCAUUUAUGUGUCCAUUAUUAUUUUUUAAAAUGUUUUAAUUUUUAUUUGUUUAUUUACUUAUUAUUAUAUAUAUAAUUGGUUUGUCUUUUUUUAAACGUAUUUUUGUUUUUUCUCGUAUUAUUUUUAUUUACAUUAUCGUAUUUAUUAUUCCGUCAUGCAUAUUAACACCGUACUUUAUUUCUACCAAUUCGUGUUAAAUUAAUCAUUACUCAAUACAUAAUUUUUUUAAAUAAACGAUAUGUCAUAUUUUGAGAUUCGAAAAGUCAUUCCCUAACUUACGGGUUUUCAAUUUUCUCGAUAAAUCCGAAUACACGAAUCCUUUUUAAACAUAAAUUUUUUUAACAAUCUCGGGAAUUAAUAAAAGAUUGUGUUCUAACUUACGGGACAUGAUUCCUUUUCUAAAACUGAGAUAAUUGAAUAUUUUCAAAAUAAGUAAAUUUUUCGGCAUUUUUUCUCGUAUCGGGGUUUAAGACAUUGUGUCCUAACUUACGGGACGUAAUUUUCUUUCUUGAUUAACGUGAAAUAUGCUCCUUUCUCGAAAAUUUUUAAUAUUUUAACAAAGGAUCAUAUUUUAAAUCUCUUCAAAGUUUUUAAUUUUCGACACUAAGACAUUAGUUAAUCAACUAGGCACCAAUUUUUUGGCGUUACGAGGGUGCUAAUCCUUCUUCGUACGUAACUGACUCCCGAACCCAUCUUUCUGAAUUUCGUGGACCAAAAUCGUUAUUUUAAUAAAUCAAGUCGUUUAUUCAAAAACAACUAUUACGAGGUGACCCGAUCACACCUCAUAAAAAUGAUCAGUGGCGACUCCCAUAUUCGUUUUCGUUUUCAAAAUUAAAGUCGACCCUGUUUUCAAAAAAAUGGUUUCGACAUCUUGAUGACUCUACUGGGGAUCCAAAAUAAGAGAGUCAAGCCACAAGUUGAUUAUUUUUUGUCUUUUUGUCGAAAAUUGAAAACUUGGUUUAAAUGUACGAUUCUUUCGUUGCAUUUCAUCCGUCUUUGUUACGAUCUUCAUCAUUGUGGUUUAUAAUUGCUGUGUUGGUUUAAGUUUUGGUAUCUUUCUGCACAUUGCAUCUCAUGAUCGGUCGAUCUUACCCUUUUAAGUGAGAGUGAGAAACUACUCAUUCGUGAGGUUUUCACAUUCGCAUGGGAUAGUGAAUCACUUUCGAGAUACAUCCGUACCUAUGUCUUCGUGAGAUUUUCAUCUCUGCAUGUUCAUAGGGAAAUGUAUUCCCCUGAACAGAACUCGGUCCAUAUGAGCCUAUAAUGGGUGAGGAUCGAGGAAUCUGCCGGUUCGGGUACCUUUACUUUAAAACUGAACCCCAUAUAGCGAGCCUUAAGAGCCCACCCUAGGUAGAUCCAGUCCAAACCCCUAAUGGUCAUCCAAAUAGGUGCUCUGUUUAUCAUUUUUUUUGUACUGACGUGUUUCUUUUGUUUUGGUUUUGAUUGUAUUGCAUUUUCAUAGAAAAGAGGUGUUGGUUCACGUUCAGUUGCUAAAUAGAGAGCUUGUCAUGGAAAAUGGAUUUCAUGAUAAGUAGAAGACAAUGCGGUCGUUCGAAUAUGGUCCGAGAAAACGUAACGAGGGAAGGGUGAUAGUCUGAUGAAUAAGUACACGAAUUUGCUUCGUUGCCCGAAGAUUCAAGCUGACAAAGCUUAUUCGAAAGUCGUCAACAUCCCAACUUUCUUAAAGAAGCUAACAAGUAUCACGAGGAUGAGUGAGCAAUGGGUCACAGCCUGGAUCGAGAAAAAAGAAGCUAGUAGAGGUAUCCAUUGGAAAUUUCGCUAGAUUUGAUCUUCACAUCCAGAUAUGAAGAAAGGGAUCGAUGUCUUCGUCUAGAGUAUGAGGGCAAGGCCGUAUAUGUAAAUAUCUGUUUUAUGUAAAGAUAUUUUUUUCUAUUAAAGUUGUUCUAAUAGAAUUGAAUCAGAAUCAACACCUCUUUUUGCAUUCAUUCCAUUCAUUUGCAUUACAUUUCAUUGCAUACAAUAAAUUUCCUAAAAUCCAAAAGUGUGUCAAGUUCAGAACUCUAGUACAGAGCCUGUUGGAUGAUAAAUAAUUGGAAUUCUUUAAAGAUAUCAAUGGUUUGAAAGGGAAAGAUGUUUGGGCCUUUGAAGAAGGAACUAAAAAAACAAUAACAACAACAAAAACAAAAAAAACCUAUCAAGAAUUUGUUCCUACAUCCCUAAAGGCAUUCUGAACAGCUGAACUGUGAAGAAGAUUCUUGUAGUUUUUAGGACCAUUUCAGAAUAAUAUUUAGAACACUCUUAUUGCUCUAAGCCUGAGAGCAAUAGAAAUCCUUUUGUGAAAAAGGCACAUGUCCACUUUUUUUUAUUUCAAUGAAAUGCAUCUUUGUGUCUCGUUUUGGCAAACUUUCUUUUAUUCCUUCACUUCAUUCAUAUUCAUACCAUGUAAAUAACUGUUCUUAGAUUCAUUUAUUCUUUGGAUAUUCCUUCAUGCCUACAACAGGUCUCUAGAUAUCAACGACAUGAGCGACGCUGUUACUGACCCAAAAUCUCCUUUUGAACGAGACAUCUGUCUGGAGGGAUCUCAGGACUUUGAAGAUGAACGAGACUAUAGCUUAUCUCCUGAUUUGUUAAGGAUAGUAGAGCAAGAUGAGAAACAGAUCCUAUCUCACAAAGAAUCAAUGGAAUCUAUGGCUUUUCUCUAUGUGGGACAUGGAUGUCAUUGGGCCGAUCUCGUCAAAAGCUUCUGACGUUUGUCAAUUCAUCUUUAUGGUCGUCGAUUACUUUACUAAGUGGGUGCAAGCUGCUUUAUAUGUCAAUGUCACAAAGUCAACAGUCAGCAAAUUCUUGAAAAAAAGAAAUCAUAUGUCGGUAUGAAAUGCCAAAAGGAUCAUAUCUGACAAUGCAUUAAUUUUAUAUUGCGUUGGAUUGUUUUACAUUUGAGUACUUAAUUUUAUAUUUGGUAAUUAAUUGGGUAAGUUAAUUGUGCUGGGGUAUUUAUUGAAAUUAAUUAAUUAAUUACUUAAUUGUAUUUAGUUAUUUUGUAUUUAUGUUGGUUUAUAUGCCUAAUUGGUUAUUGUGUAUUUGAAUAUUAGGUUGGGUUUAAUGUUUGAUCAGCUAGUAUAUUUAAAAUAAAAAAUCAACAUAAAAAUUACCUAAAUCGAAUAAAUUGAUAAAAUUAAAUCAAAUAAAUUGAAAUAAUUCAAUUCAUGAAAAGGAGGAUUGUUUAGGGUCAAUUUGACAUUGAUGUUACGGUUGAGAAGUGUUUUUGAAAAACUUGGAUUGGAAUUAGUGCUUUUGGAAAGUUUCGUGAGAAAAUGUUGUGAAAAAGUGUGGUUUGUUAAUUUAAGGUGUUUGGCAUUGCUGUCAAUAAUUGUGGUGGGACAUUAAAAUGUUCAUUUUAGACAUAAUAUUGAAAAUUAAAAAUAAAUUGAAUUAGAUAAUAUUUAAAUGAUUUAAUAUAAUUAUACAUAAUAUAUAUUUUAAAUACUUUUAAUAAUUAAUAAAUUAUUUGUAAAUUUAAUUAUACAUGAAAUAUUUUAAAAUUUUAAAUAUAAUAAUAUAUAUUAUCUAAAUAAUUUAACAUAAUGAUAUUUGUAAACAAAUUUAAAUAAGUUAAUACAAUGGUACAUUAAAUAUUUAAAUGAUUUAAUAUAAUGAUAUAUAAUAUUUAAAUUUAUCCGAAAUUUUAAAUACACUUUAAAUAGUUAAUACAAAUAAGGGUAUUUUAAUAAUUUACACUUCCAAAUGCAAAAGCCAAAAGUACUUAAACCCUAACUUUUGCGUUUGGGCGGAAAAAUACUUUUCUACCGCACUUUCAACCCCCAAAGCCAAGUGUUUGACAUUGUUUUUGGGGUGGAAAAGUAUUUUUUCCAACCCCAAAUGCAUUCUCAAACGGGGACUUAAUAGUGUUAGAGGUAUAGUUAUCUCGUUCAAUAUAACAUUUUUAAUAUUUCAUUUGAUAAUUGUCUUCUCAAUGGUUUUUACAAGUAAAGCAAAAUGUAUAACAAAUAAUUGCUCAUUGAUUACUUGAAGUUUAAUUAAUAUUAAGUUACAUCACAUAGUCGAAUUGUAAUGCAAGAAGAUAAUUUGUAUUAAAAGGUAAUCUAAAUUCAUGGGUUAGAUUGAGUAAAUGACUUAUGUUAGGACAAUUAUGUUGUCUAUAAGUCUAAUCGGGCAGAUAACUUGCCUUGAUGAUUUGAGCAAGAUUGACUCUCAAAAAUAGAGACAUAAAUGUGAUUGUCUGGGCUGACAACACAUUGGGUAUCACCCAAAUUGGAAUAGUUCUAGACUUAUUUAUUGAUUGGUUUACAUGUGGCAUUCAUAGUGUAACUUACAUAAGUCGUAAGUAAGUGAAUGAUCAUGUGUGCAUGACUCAUGUACUUGAAUAUAUUGAAAACCUAUGCUCUCAAUGAAGUGAGUUGAAAGUUGGUAUGUUGGGUACAUGACUUAUGCACGAUGUUUUGCUUCACUCACAAUAGUGGAGUUGUAGUUUGAAAAUGAUUUUCUUGCACAGUGGAAAAUUAAAAUUUUAAAAGCCGAACCAGUGUGUAAUAUUUAUAGUAAUAAACCCUUGAUCGAAAUCGCACCUAUGUUUUCUGCUGGACAGAUCCUUGUCAUUCUCAGAUUUCAACUGAAUGAUUUUCUCUACUAUUCUUGUACCACGGACUACUUUGAGCGUGGGCUGGAAUGAGUUCGAAUCAAACACGAAACCAUAAAUUAUUUACUUUUCUUUCAGUGGGAAAACAAGUCUCUCUUUAAUAAAAAUCGGUAGAAUUGUUAUUUCGAAAAAUAUAAUUUAUACUUUAGAAAAUAAAUUAUCACUAUUUUCGGGCAGAAUAACAAUAUCCCAAAGUCGUAUUUUUAGCCCUACCAGUGCAUCUAUUUAUAAGGACAAGAAGUGAACCCUUUGUUAAAUUAGUAGAAGUCUAUUUCAAUAGAAAAACAAAAUCCUAGUCUAACUAGAUGAGAGAGCGGCGACAACCCUAGUUAAAUAUACUAGGGUUUUUCGUCCCAUGUGUUUAGCAUGCAUGAAGGUCUUUCGAGCCUCUCCCGUAUUGGGUCCAAUUAUAAGUAAUUUCUAGACUUCUAACCCUGUGCUUUAUAAUUCAAUUCAAUCCAAUACUUGUUAUUCUAUUUCCCAAAAUAAACAUCAUAAAUUAAUUUAAAUAAAUAAAUUUCCCAAUUAAAUAAUUUUUUCAACCCGAUUCUAAUUUUGUUAAAAUCAUUGCAACUUUAUCGUAAAAGAAUUUAUGAGAAAAUAUAUUUAAUAUUUCUACAUUCAAUGGUUUCACUAUGACCAAUUAAUUUAAUUCAUUUUUGAACUUAAAUUAAUUAAUUAAUAAUUCGACAAAUUAUAAAUUAAUUUUUUAGGUCAUUUCAAUUUAGAAAAAAUCACAUUCAUUUCUGAAUGUUUCCCAUUUCUCUAACUUUACCAUUUAUAUCUAUUAUGUUCAUUUGGUUCAACAUGCAAUUCAUUGUUAGUUUCAAUGAGAUAGUGAAGAGACUGAUUAGACAUAUAUAAUUAGGGCUCAAAUGAUUUAUAAUUAAGUUUUAGCUUUUCGCCUAUUAAUUGUAAACUCAUUUAGUCACAAAGUCUUUCCAUUAUAGUGUCGUGAUUGAGCUCUCCUUAAUGAAAUACCGUUACAAAAGUAACUCGAUGAGUGUUUAUCCAAUGACAUUGUUAUAAGUGUGUUACCCUCAUAGGAUAUCCUUAAUCCCUUUGGGAUAAAUCCGUUCUCCCAAUAUGAUCCUUUUUUAUCUCAUUGUAACCAUUACAUCUUCUUUCAUGAAAAGUCAAUUACUAUCAAAAUAGUAAUCAAAUCAUUCAUCAUAAAGACGAACAACUCGUGACCAUGUUUACUUUUUGUCUAUCUUGUAAUGCCGAUGAAAGGACAUCAUUUACCCAUAUCUCGGGCUAUGAAUUUUAUUAUUGUAAAUGAUGCUACAUACUGCAGAAGUCAUAUACCUAAUGUAACAGUUUUCGGUUCCUUAUCUAUUUGAACUCAGGCUUUUACUUGUAUCAAAGUAUACAAGUCACGCAUACAUAGUUCAUCAUCCACUUAAGAUGAAGCUAUGCCACACUUUGAACGUCAAUAGUGAAUAAAUCCAUAAACGGAUUUAGGAUAAAUUCUUCUUAGGUUUAGUCUAAUGUACUGUCAGUUUAGUCAAUCACAUCUAUGUCUCUAUCUUCUAAGAGUCAUUUGCUCUGAUACCCAAGACAAGGUAUCUCCCUAAUUGAACUUGAUAAACGACAUAUUAGUCUUUCAAUUGGUUUGCUUAUUUUCGAUUACACUAAGGACAUGUUUAGGUUUGUCUGCUAAUAUAAAUUGUCUUUCCUAUUACGAAUCGACCACGUAAUACCACUUAAUAUUAGUUUAAACAUUAGAUAUCUAAUGAGGUGAUUUGCUUCUAUUUUGCUUUAUAUGCAGAAACCAUGUGAGGAAAAUAUAUAAAAGAGUAUUAAUGUAAUUCAUGAAUGAUUUUAUUAACCACUCUGUUCGAAAAAAUUACAAGUGUACAUAGACAAAAAUAUCACACUUAGGGUUACAGAUCCAACAGGCUUUAAGGUUCUAUUCACCCCCUUAUAUUUUGGUGCACAAGAGUUACAAGCAAAUAAACCUCGGGGAUAUAAUGAAGCUUAGUGACAUGUGUUUUACAUUCACGAAAACAAUCCACUAAGCAUUGAGUGGAGUAUAGUAAGGAUAUCAAAUUCUAUAAAGGACUUCUUCAGUAAUUCUCUAUAGAAUCAUUUAGGAAUGUUAGUAUGUGGAGGAAGAACACAAAGAAUUUAUUUUCUAAAUCUUUUUUGGUAUGCCAUGAAAAUAAAAUUCUACUCCUAUUUAUAGGACUUCUCAUGACUCUUCAUAGAGACAUAACUAUUUAAUCAAGUGACAUUACCUUUGGUGUUUAAAAUACAUAACUUAUCACCAUGAAAAGUGACAACUCUUGAUUAAUAACCAAGUAAUAUAACUAUUGUUUACUUAUAACUUUUCAUUUGCAACUAUUAGAACAUAUUAUCUAUUUUGAAAAUGUUCCAACAAUCCCACAUUUUCAAAAUAUUUUAAAUUUUGAGAAUAUUAAAAAUCAAUUGCAUAAAUGAAAAUGUCUUACGAUUGAACAUUUACUUAGUAAAAACAUGCUAAAGUUAAUUGAAUUUGCAAGGUAGACUAUAAUUUGGAUUGGUUGUUCCAUUUGAUUAAUCAAACACAUUUCACACAAGGAUUUCACCACUAGUCAAUGCAUAGCAUCUAGGGAUACUAUUAUGGCCAUGUGUCUAUAACCCCUUUCACAAGUGCUGUUAGAGCCAAUCCCUUGAGCUCUUAGAAAUGAUUAUACUUUCACUCACAUAAGUAGAUCCUAUCAAGAGUGUUCUUGUAACUAUAAUGCUUAAGCAUAGAUAUGUUAAUUUUUCAGAUAAUGGUGAAAACUUUAUAUUUAUUAUCUUGAAGUUUACAAGACCAAAUAUAACAGUCCGUUUUUCAAUGGUGUCGAAAACAGUGGUUUCGAGACCACAAAUUUGACGAGUGAGUUUAUGUAAUUAUUAUUUAAAUUAUACGAGUCAAUAAUAAUUUUUAUGUUGAAUUUUGAUUUAAGGAAUUUUAACUCACUGAAUUAAAAGUUAGUAUAAGUGGUUUGGUUCAAAAGUCAAGUGGUUAUUGAAAACAAGGUAUUAGGACCUCGUUUCCGUAAUUUAAGGUCGUAAAUAUUUUUAUUAAAUAUUUAUAGAGUCGUAUUACAUGUAAAUUGAAGUUUGGUCCAGUAAUUUUCAGGAUUUAUUGCUUAAUUACGGUGAAAGGAUUAAAUUGUAAAAGAGGUAAAAGUUAAUUGCUAUAGAUUUAAAAUAGUAAAUGGACCAAAAUGGUAAUUUAACCAUGGUCAAAAAGUCCAAGCGAUGGUGGAUAUGAUUAAUCCACUAAAUUUUGGGUUAUUUAUUCAUUUAGUCCUAAUUAGUUUAGGGUUAAAUUGAAAUAAAGUUUAAUUAACUAAUAAAUUAAAAUAAUUGAAGGACCAAUUGUGCAAUUAAACCUUCCUUGAAUGGUAAAUAUACCAUAGGUGAUGAUUGUAGACGGUAAUGGGCUUGAAAUUGUUAAAAUUGAAUGGAAAUUAAAAGGGUAAAAUGGUAACUUAAUAAUUAAACAUAAUGUAAAUGAAAUAAAAGCUAAAAUAACUAUCAUAUUUUUAAUUUUAUUCCUUCAAAAACCGAAUAAACAUGGGAGGAGAGGAGAGAGCUUUCGAACAAGCUUAGGGUUCCUCAUUUGAAAGGUAAAUAUUGCCCGUUUUUAGUAUUUUUUUUAUAUUUCUAAACUUGUUUUAGCUCGAUUUAACUAGCAUGAGGACUAAUUUGUAAAAUUUUCAAAUGUUUUGGAUUAUUCCAUAGAUGAGUUAUGAACAUUCUUGGAAUUCUCUUUUAAAGGUUAAAUGACUAAAAUGUUAAAGUGAUUAAAUUGUAAGGACUUGAUGUGAAUAACAGCAAGUAUGAGCUGAAAUGAGGUAGUAUAUAGUUGGGUUGAACUUAAAUUUGAUUAAAAUUGGUUAAAUUGCAAGUUUUGAGCUUAGGGACUAAAUUGUAUAGAAGUAAAAUGUCAAGGGUAAUUUUAUAAAAAUGUCAAAAAGGACUUAAUUGCCUAAAAUAUUUAAUUAUGUUGCUGGAAAUUGACAAUUGAAUAAAAUUAUUAUUUAGAUCAAGGAAGAGCUGAUAAUCGAUGAAAAGAGAAAAUUACUAAAUAGUCCUUGAACUUUUAUUAUUGCUGCAGUUAGUCUUGUAAUUAAGUUCGUUUAGUUUAAUUUUAGCACAUUUUUAAAGAUAUUAUAUGAAUUUAAUUACAUAAUGUUGGAUUAUAUUGAUGUGUGUAAAUGAAAAUUGAAAUAAUGAAUUGAUACCACGUCGAUCACUGAUUGAGAUACUCUGAACCAUUACUACAAAUCAGUCCUGUAAGUUCGCACAAUAAAGUAAUUAGUUUAGUUGUUGUUCUGUGAAUUAUUGAAUAAUUUAAAUAUAUUGUAUUUAAAUUUUCUUGUAUAAUAAAUAUUAAAUUGUGGAAUUGAAUCAAAUUGAAAUGAAAUUAUAAUUGAUGUUCAUGAUUGGAAGUGAGGAAAGAAUAUAAUUGAAUUCAUAUUACAAAGAAAUGCUUAAAUGAUUAUAUGAUAUGAUAGUUAUUAUUUACAUUACGAAUGAAUUAAAUUGAUUGAUAUACGACAAUUAUUAAAUUGGACUAAAUUGUAUUAUUAGUUAAUUUGGUAUUAUGUCUAAUAAAUAAGAACUAUAUGGAUGUGUGCUCGUAAUGGUAUAAUGUAAAGAAAGUUAAUUGAAAUGGACAUGGUAUAUGACCAGUAUGAACCUCGUAAAUACUUGGGACAUAAAGUACAGGUCAUUAGGGGUUAUACAGUUUCGGGUGUUGAUUUUGGAUAUCCUACUGAUGGAUAGUCCCUGUACUUAAGUUGUUAUUGCAAAUUGGUUCUGUAAGUUCGAUGUUCGUAUUAUAUAUAUGGUUAUAUUUUAUUCUUUUUUAUUGGAUUUACUCUUUUAACUUUAGUAUUAUAAAGUUGAAUGUUGAUUGCCGAGAAUAUAUAAUAGAAUUGAGUUGUUAUAGAGGUGUAUUAUAUCGAGUCUUGGGCCUAGUAGGCUUUAUGCCGAUGUAUUGUAUCGGGCCUUGAGCCUAAUAGGCUUCGUGCCGGUGACUUAUCAGGCUUUGAGCCUAGCAGGCUUCAUGCCGAUGACUUAUCAGGCUUUGAGCGUAAUAGGCUUUAUGCCGAUGUUUAUCGGGCUUGAUGCCUAGCAAGCUUCGUGCCUGUGUAAUGAUUCAUAUUGGAUAUUGUUGACUUGAGAUCUUACUAAACGACGACGUGGAAUAUGAAUUAAACUAAUGUACUGUACAAUACUCACUUGCUGUGAGCUAUGAUUGACAUGAACUUAGUUAUUUAAUCUUAUAAUUUGAUCUGUUAUGUUUAAAUUUAGUAAGAUUAUCGUUUGAUUUAACGAACUUACUAAGCUUCAAGUAAGCUUACUCCUAUUUUGCGUUUUUUUUAUAGAUUGCAUUUUGUAGUUGGGAGAUCGGAUCAACUCGAAGAAUCACACUAUCCUGAGGACUCUUUAUGGUAGAUUUUGUAAACAUCCUAGCUUAUAUAGCAUGUAAUAGGGUAAAUGAAUAUAUGAAAUGUUUCUAGAUAUGUGUUGGAUUGGUAUGACUUGGUCUGGAUUCUUACGCAAUUGCAAAAAAAAAAAAAAGAUAGCAUGAUUUUGGUCAUUUUUUAGUACACACGGCCUGAGACACGAGUUGUCACACAGUCGUGUGUCACACACGGGCAACCUACAUAGGCGUGUACCCUGAACUUGUUAGGUGCAGUUUCCACACGGAUUGGCACACAGCCUGCGACAUUACUGUGUGACCCAACAUCGAAUUGAACACUGUUUAGCAUACAGCCGUGUGAGGGUAUUUCGAAUGCUACACGGGCUAGCACACGGUCUGCGACAUGGCUGUGUGAAAUUAUUUCGAAAGGUACACGAUCCGUCACAUGGUUGGCCAUCACGAUCUGGGUCGUGUCAUACGGCAUGGCCACACGGCCAUGUCACCUUUGUUUUGAAAAUUUUCAAUUCCCUAGACUUUUUGAUUUGUUUCAAAUUGGUCCCUAAUUGUUCCUAAACUAAUUUUAAGGCCUCGUAGGCUCGUUUUAAGGCCCAUAAAUGUACGUAUUACUUUGAUUCGAAUUAUUAUGAAAUUCUAUUAAUUCAAUAGGCAACUUGAUGCUAUAUGUUAUUGAUUGUUAUGGAUUGUAUAGUAAUAUGUUGUAACCCUAAUCCGACGAUGGGUAUGGGUUAUGGGUGUUACGCCAAAACUCUUAGUAUAUUCAAUUACUCAUUCUUUCUCAAAAAAAAAAAAUGCUACCAAAGAUAUCCUUUGUAUAAUUAUCAAUUUACAGUGAUCACUUUAUCUUUUAUUACCAUAACAAUUUCAUAUUUGUCUAAUUUAUUUAUUUCUUGAUAUCCUAGAAAUUAAUUUCUCAAUCACCAAAUGUAUGAAACCAUACAUAAUUUGUCAUUUUCACCAAGUAAGUUGUUGUAAAUAAGAUGCAAAUCCUUUAGUGCAACAAGAUGAUAUUUUUGCUACUUUUUCCUAGCUUCUUAUCAUGAUCAAUAUAUGACUUUAAAAUUUUAUUAUGUAUGUAUACUCAAAUAACUUCACUUUUUCUCAACAAAUUAAGGGUGUUUCAUAUAUUUUUAUAACAUAGUCAUAUUAGAGGACAUCAACUAUCCAAUCAUUUGACUAUAAUAUCACACAUUUAUACACCCUAUAUCAUAGACAUUAUCACUCAUUUGUGACUGUAAUCAAAACCUUGUCCAUCACUUAAAUGGGUUGAAUAAUUUUAUAUUGCUAUUUUCAUAUUCACAAGAUCUUUUCUUUAUGGUUUUUAGAAUAUAUUUCAAAUUAUACUAUAUCUCAAAAUUUUAUAGAACAUGAGAUUAUAGAUCAUAUCCAUGACAUAAAAACAUAAAAAUUAUGUGCACCGUUAUAAACAUGCACAUUACCGUCUCGAUUUCAAAUAUAUAAUUAUCAUGUUACACAUUCUCAUUAGAAGAUAUUUUCAUACUAGAACACGGAUCCUAUUAUAUGAGCCAAUGCUUUCCGCUAUUCUACCUUGACUAAAAAAAUUAACCAUGCAAAUUGCACAUGACUUAUGUUCGUUUCUAGUCAAAACCACUUUUAAUACAACACUUAGAAUAUAGAUUAAAAAUGUACAAUCACAUAUAAGCUCAUUUAGCUUAUGGCUAUUUUAAAUCUAACAAGACAAUUCACAUAAUAUGUUUACAUAUUUGAUAAAUUUUGAUUUAAUGUAUUAUUUAUCAAUUAAUACAUUUAAAUAAUAUAUUGUGAAUAACAUUCAAAUAUAAGAUAUUAAUAUCAUGAUUUGAAUAAACAAAUAAUCCCAAUCUCAAGUGUUAUAUAUAUAUUCAUGAGAAACAAGGAAAUAUUUUUCUAGUGAAAAUUUUUACUCACAAUUUAGAUGGAAUCUCCAUACUUGUGAUCUAUUUAUAGUUUAAGUGUCUCUUUAAAAGUAUCAUUUUCCAAGGUGCAUUUAAAAAAAAAAUCAUUUCAUUCCAAUGUUUUUAAAGAGUGAUUAAAGUCAACGAAACAAAUUUUAUUUAUUUGAGAAAGCUCUCUCAAAUGAGGACAAUGCCUAAUUCAACUAAUGUUUGAAUAAUGUUAUUACCCAUUUAAAGCAAAAUGUAUUGUUUCAACCUAUUAUUGUAUUUUCUUUCCUUCUUUCAUGUUUGUUAUAUGCAUAACUAUGUAUAUCAAUAAAUAUUAUGCAUAGAGUAAACUUUUUUUGCUACAGAAAUUUCUUCUAGAUAAAAAAUUAACAAAAUUAUUGUGUGGAUAGAUAUAUUUAUGAUACCAUGUUUGCACUGCCAUGUGAAUGUGUGGCGAGCAAAAUGCCUUUUUUAAUUUCUAAAUUACACAAUAUAAUUGUGACCAACAACAUUCUUUCUUUAAAAUUAGAAUCACACUGAACAAUGUGUAAGUAUUGAGAAUUAAUUUUCUAAAAUUCAGAUAAACUGAUUAAUUUUCAUUAGAGGAAUAGUUGAUGACAAGAAAAGUAGAAAUAGGAUGAAUUAGGUAUAUUUAUAAUGGGCUACAAGGAAUGAAAGUAGGCCAGGUGAGAGGAUAAAAGAGUUUUGUGUUUGUAUAAAAAACUUGAGGGCACCCCCGCGGCUUCACUUUCUCUACGAUAUUUCUCUUUCAUUUUAUUUCUAUUUCUAUCAUUUAUUUGCUUCUAUAGUGGUGUCUCAAAAGCCGCGAAGAUAGAUUCGGAUCGUAAGAGGAAGAAAUCUUCGAUCUCAUCCGCAGAUCGAACGGCGGCGAAGGGGGGCGAUCAACAUAAAGAUAAAGCUCCCACUUCCUCCACCAACCACCACCACCACAAAAAGAAGAGCAAGAUGUCUUCUUCAUCGCCCGCCAAUCAAGUGAGGGCUUCUCACAUCCUCAUCAAGCACCAAGGCUCCCGCCGUAAGGCCUCUUGGAAGGAUCCUGAAGGUCGCGUAAUCUCCAACACUACCCGAGAUGCCGCCGUCUCACAGCUCAAAGCCCUCCGUGACGACAUCGCUUCUGGCAACGCUAAGUUCGGUGAGGUUGCCUCUCGCCACUCCGAUUGCAGUUCCGCUAAACGCGGCGGGGAUCUCGGUAGGCUUUUUUUUUCACUUGAUUGCUUUUGGAAGCUUUUGGAAGAUUUUGCUGAUUUAGUUUUAGAUAUGAGAAUGGAUUGCUCUGAUUUGGAACCCUAGUUGUUAUUUAUUAGAUUUUACUUGCUUUUGGUUGCUUAGUAACUUUUCAGAAGCUGAGUUAUGGGAGGAAAUGGAAAAGCUUUGAGUUAACACAACGAGUGAAAAUAUAAUCACAAUUGAGUCAUAUAGUUAGGGAUAACACUACUAGGGUUUGAAAUACGUUAAAAGACAGAGUUCUGAACUGCAGUCUUAAUGAUAUUAGAAUUUUGGGAUUCCCUACAAUCAAUCGGUGAUGUAAUAAUCUACUUGAUUUAGUCAACAUGCUUCUGCUGAAUCAUUCGUCAUCUUAAGAGAUAUCAAAAAUGUUAAUAACACUAGUUCUGUUGAUAGGUUUGCUUCUGUGUAAUAAGUGUGUUGCUUUGAAGGCUUAAAGUCUUAUCGGUUUCAAUGGCUGUGUUUUGCUAUGCAAAUCACUUUAAACUGGCAAAUCAAAUUACCUGAUUUUUUUUAGCAUUUUGCAGAACUGAUCUGUUUUGGAAAUUAAGAUUUUGGCAUUUUAGAAGCUUAGAAUUCGCCAGAAGCCCUUAUAUAUAUAUAUAUAUAUUCUUUUUGAUCUAUUAUCUGCUUUCAUAUUCCUUCUCAAGGGUAAUAAUAUUUCAGCAAUUUUCACGUUAGGUUAAAGCCUUUUUGUUGUGUUUUUCGGUAUCUUCUGUCUCUGAAAACAAAAUAAAGAUGGAAAUCUAUAUAAUAUCUAUAUUUAUGCAUAUACAUAUGGAGUUUUAACUUUAGGAGUUCAUCCUAAGGUUCUAAGGCAAAUUAGUUGUUCCACGUAGGAACCUGACCUAUUACUGAAUGCACGGACAUUUUGCAACUAUUUUCCUUUUAUAUUGUUUGAUGUCAUUGUUUUUCCUUGGUACAUAAGAUCAUGAGAAAAAAAUUACGGCCUAGUGGCACCUUGGCCGCAAGUGUCAGCUUGCAGCAAGGACAUCAAACUUGCAGGAGAACUUUGAAGAUGAAUAACCCCAGUAUCUUUCACUUGGGCAAGAUUUGCUCAGUGGUUGCCCUCUCUAAAAUCGGCCUCUAAUUUCUACCACCCACCUUACCUUAAUAAGAUCACAAUAGUCAUUGAUCCAUGUAUCACAAGGAUGACAAUGUUCCAUAGUCCGGUUGAAAAUUGAACAACCAUAAGGAACAGGCCCUGAUUCUUCCGUACUGCCAAUUUAUUGAUAUUUUGCUAUUGUAAUAUUUUUUCUUUUCUUUUCCAGCUAAUAGAAUUAUAAUUUUCUUUAUGCAUAUCCCACAAUUAUCUUGCCCCAGUUCUGAUUAUUGUUCAUUAGCCAUGAUCUUGUGUUUUUUUUGUACUAGCAUUACAAGCCAUAAUCCAAACAAAAUCUUAUACAAACUCUUUUUGCAGGUCCUUUUGGUCGAGGCCAGAUGCAAAAGCCAUUUGAGGAUGCAACAUAUAGCCUUAAGAUUGGUGAGAUAAGUGACAUCGUGGAUACUGAUAGCGGAGUUCACAUCAUUAUGAGAACAGGUUGAUUAUUGGUGAUAAUACCUGGAUAUGUUGGCAAUUAGUUCGGUGUGUUGGAUAACUGUAUUCAAGAAUGUUCUGAAAUUAAUGUCGAUACUGCCUAUGGUCAAUUUGAGUGAUAUUUUACACUUUGGCAAUGACAUUUUAAAUGCUUGGUAUAAGUUGUUUGGCGAGGGCAUUUAAUUUCCGAACCAUUUUGGUUGUGAUUUGAGAUUAUUUGCUUGUUUAUAAUAAAAGGUUUUGGUUAUAAUUUAUCUCUCAUCCGAUUCUAUGUUUUAAUAAUUACGAGCCAUGGAUGUGGAAGCAAAUGAUGAACGAAUUUAGGAUUUAAUCCAAUUGAUUCAUGUAUUCAUCAAGUAGUAUCUAGAUGUAGGAUUUGAAUAUCUAUAACCUGUUUUCUAUUAUCUGCUUGCAACCUCCUUUGUGUAAACUGUGAAUGUAGCUUCCAAUUUACUGAUAUUUGGUUCUGUAGUAUUGCCCUCCACUUUGUGUCCAUACUUUUGCAAAUACAGCCGAGCCAUUCUUAGCACAUAGAAGUAGUCCACAAUGCAACUUUGUAUCUCCGUUCGAGGUUCGUAAUAUUAUCAAUUGAUUCCCAUUCACAUCAUGAGCUAUAGCUGCUCCCCCUGAAAGAUGCAAAUUGCUAUCGGUAAAAGGAGAAAUAAUUAAAGUCUAGAUGCUGUGCUUGAGAAGUAGUAGACAUGGUUUGAUCCGGGAUUCUGGAAUGUUUGGAAUAUCCAGUUAGCAUAGUGUAUUGCUACAGUAACAGCAUUGGGAAAUAAUUUUGCAUUCAGAUAUUUCCAUAUUGACCAUCGAGAAUCCUCACUAUGGGUCUAAUUGAGAAAAAAAGUGUAGCAACCAAACAUGAUUGGUAUUACGCUUGGCAGCAGGGUUUGAUACCGGCUCAGAUUUAUUGGCAUUGAUCGAAAGACCAGAUAAAGCACCCCCAGCAUCUACAAUGAACCAUUCAUGAUUUGUGUGAUGUGCCGAUCCUUUCCUUUCAUCCUCGUCUCCUUCCCAACAUUCUACUAGUUUUGCUUUUCUCUUUCAUUUUCCCUUUUAACAUGUAACUAACUUGAAUAACAAAUAAACAACAAAACUAAUUCAUAUUCCAUACACACAAAAAAGAAGCUAGUAAUUAGUAAAAACAAGUUUCCUCUCCAACUUCAGUAUGUUAGGAUGACCAAAUUAAAAGCGUGUUGGAUGGAGGUAAAAGUACCAAAGAAGCCCCUUUUCUUAGGGGCGGAUUGCAUUUUGGGCUUUCUACUGAAAAAAUUAGCCCUUAUACAUUUUAAAACGUCCAAAUUAGCCCAUUUGUUAAAUUUUAUCUCUUAAGAGAUGGUGUGGAACAUUAAAUCUAUGCUGAAAAUUAUUUUUUAUGGGUAAACUAUAAAAAUAGUUACCCAACUAUGCCUCUCGUUCUAUUUUGGUCACCCAACUAUUAAUUUUUUGAUUUAAUUACUAAACUUUUCAAAAUUUAAUGUUUCAGUACUUUGAGCUGAUGUGGGCUUUUUUAUUGGUCUAGUAAUAAAAUUAGCCAUCUAAUAUUUACACAUUCUAUCAAACUGAUCCUAAAUAUAAAAAAAUUAACAAAUUUAGCCCUCAAUGUUGAAAAAAUUUGUCAUUUUAGUUCUAAUUCUAAAAACUUCAAUAAAUUUGGCCCUCGACAUUUACAAAAUAUGUCAAUUUGGACCUAACUCUAAAACUUUUAAAAUUAUUUAAAAAAAUAAUCAUUUUUAGCCCUUCAUAAUCCAUCGGCUACCCUAUAUGAGAUAUUCAAAUAACAAAAAGAGUAUCCUCUUUCAAGUCAUUUGCAAAAGAACUCUAAAAUGUUGGGAUAAAACAUAAAAAAAUUUAAGAUCCAAAAGAAAAUAAAAGCAUUAAAAACAAUAUUUGUUUGGGUAGUAAUGCAACCAAUUAUUCCAAAUAGGUUCUAAAUCAAUUGGUUUGGUCCAUUGUGAAUCAUAAAUUAUAGUAAAAGAAAUUAUUGCAAGUGGCUUGAAAGAGGAUAUACUUUUCCUUAUUUCAAUAUGUCACAUGGGUUAACCGAGUUAUAAAAGGCCAAAAAUUGAUAGAAUGUGUAAGCAUUAGCGAGUUAAUUUUGUUACUAGACCAAUAAAAAAAAACUCACAUUAGUUGAUUAAAAUAUUUAAUUUCGAAAAUUUUAGUGACUAAAUAAAAAAUAAUAAUAGUUGAGUGACUAAAAUAGAGCGAAAGGCAUUGUUGGGUAACCAUUUUUAUAAUUUACCCAUAAAAAAUAGUUUUCAACAUAAAUUUAACAUUCUUAAUAGAUAAAAUUAAAAAAAAACUAAUUUGCACAUCUUGAAGUAUAUAAAGAUUAAUUUACUCAUAUUUUUAUUAGAAAGAUCGAAAUGCUAUCUACCCCUAAAUACAGUGACUUCCCUAAAUUUUUACCUUAGUAAAAUAAAACAAAUUAUAUUUGACCUCAUUAGGGCAAGGGUAUUUAUAAUUUAUUAAUUGACCAUUUUAUCCUUUUUGAUCUCCCCUCCUAAACUCCGCUCACUCUUUAUAAAAUAAAAUCAUUGACAGAACCCUCGUCGUCUUCAUUUUUCCUCUCAAAACUCCCACACUUCCUUCACAUUCCAAUGGUAGCCAAUAUUGAAAGUUACAAGGCCGGAUCUCCUGCCAUUAGUGGCAACAUCAUCCCUAAGUGUAAGAUUACGUUGAUCACUGGCAUCACCGGUCAAGAUGGUUCAUACCUCACCAAGUUCCUAUUUAACAAAGGAUAUGAGGUCCACGACUUGAUUAGCCAUUCUUCUAAUUUCAAUACGCAGUGUAUCAACCACAUCUACAUCGACCCCCACAACGCCCACGAGGCUCGGAUGAAGUUCCAUUACGCUGACCUCUCUGAUGCUUCUUUUCUUCGUUGCUGGAUCGACACCAUCUGACUUGACGAGGUUUACAAUGGCACAAUCUCACGUCAUCGUCUCUUUUGAAAUCCUCGAUUACAUUGCUGAUGUCGUGGUCACCGGAGCCCUCUGCUUGUUGAAAGUCGUUAGAUCCCACAUCGUCGCCACGGGUCGAAGCCACAUCAAGUACUACCAAGCUGGACCGUUCGAAAUGUACGGAUCCACUCCUCCCUCACAAUCUGAAACUACCUCAUUUCACCCUCGAUUCCUAUACGUAGCUUCCAAAUAUGUGGUGCAUUGGUACACCGUAAAUUACAGGGAAGCUUACGACAUCUUCGCCUGUAAUGAAUCUUGUUUAAUCACGAGUCGCCUAGGAGAGGGGAGAAUUUCGAGACCCUAUUUCCAAAUUUUUUAAGUUUUUACAUUUUUUUCUGUUUUGAUUCAAAUUAGUCCUUGAUUGUUUCCAAACUAUUUUUAAGGUUUCAUAAGCUCGCUUUAAGGUCCGUAAAUGUAAUUAUGCUAUGAAUGAAACUUAGAUUCGAAUGUUGUUAUUUAAAUUAAUAAAUGAAUGGUUUAAUGAUUUUAAUUAUUUUGAUAUGUAUCGUAAUACUCUGUAACUCUAAUCUGAUGACGAAGUCGGGUUAGGGGUGCUACAGUGUAAAUAUGACAAACAAUAAAUUUGUUAAAACUCUUGUUUAACUUGUGUUUUUGUACAUGUGUUGGUUUACGUUAUGUAAGAAACACAUGUAUAUGGGAUAUUAGAUAUUGACUAGUUAUAUACCAACUCAAAAUAUAUCUAAUCCAACCUACUAUUGUGGAUUUAGAUAGGUAUUCCAGUAGAAGAAUAGAAGUUCCUCUGUUUCGUCUUUGACUCUGAAUUGAACGAAUAAAGAGAUAAAUAAAAUAAAGACAAAAACGAAGAAUUCAAAGCAAAGAAUGGGUUGGAAAAAAGAAAGGGAAGAACAAAGUAUGUGCAGAUUCAAAAAAAUCUAGCGGAUAGGACCUAAAAAAAAGAUGUCGAAAUAGUUCUGACGGUUCAAUAAUCUUCUCACUUCCAUUCGGAGUUCUUAGUUACUUCGGCAGGUUGAAUCUUAGCGAUGGAAUAAUAUAAUUAAGUCAAAAUUCAUUGGAUGAUUGUAUCAUUAACCAUUUCUUUAUUUUGGUGCGAGGAACUUAUCAUGAAUCCACUGAUUUCUGCCGCUUCCGCUAUUGCUGCUGGGUUGGCUGUCGGGCUUGCUUCUAUUGGACCUGGAGUUGGUCAAGGUACUGCUGCGGGCCAAGCUGUAGAAGGUAUCGCGAGACAACUCGAGGCGGAGGGAAAAAUACGAGGUACUUUAUUGCUUAGUUUGGCUUUUAUGGAAGCUUUAACAAUUUAUGGGCUGGUUGUAGCAUUGGCACUCUUAUUUGCGAAUCCCUUUGUUUAAUCCUAUAAGCAUGAGAAUUUUGUAUUUUUUUUUUCUUAUUUUAUGGCUUGGGACUUACUCCUCGCUUUUUCGAAUUCUAUCAAGAUUUCACCCCUACAAUUAAUUAUUCGUUGGGACAAUAAUCCAUGGGAAGGA